rnacentral:lncRNA from 1 species
AUAGAGUCAGGUUGACCCGACCAUUUUAAAAUUUAAAAUUUUUUAUUAUUGUAGUUUUUUUAGACCAAUUUUUGUUUAGCCCAAUUACAAAUAAAAUCUACAUAAAAGAUACAAAAUCCAAAUUACUUCAACCCAACACAAACCAACCUCAGCCCACUAACUUAAUAAUCCAACACAACCAACCCAACCCACUAACUUAACAUAUCACCCAACCCACUAAUUAACCAAAACUAAAUUUAACCCAUCAAACCUUACAUAAACCAACCCAUUAACUAAAAUAUUUCUUUUUUUUAAUACUAAACCCCCCCCCAAAACAAACAAGUUCCAGCAGCAAACAAAGAAAAUCCAAACUUCAAGCUGCCUAUUCUCCCUCUCCUUCCACCGUGCGCGUCACCAGCAGCCACCGUAUGCACCACAUGAAAUCAGGCUACGGGUAGUUGAGGUUUGGUUUUUGGGGUGGCUGAUAAUCGAUUGGCUCGGGUAUUUAGAGUGGGUUUCGGUUUGGGAGCUUGAUUGUGGUGUUAAUGGUGGUUAGUCCUUGGUUGCUUGGUUGCUUGCCGGAUAUUGGAGUUUUUUCUUGCUUAGAUUGUUGAAUGCUCCUUUUUUGUUGUUUUUUUUUGCUGGAAAAUUUUUUUGCUGAAUAAUUUUUUUUUUGCUCUUUUUUCUCAAAUGGGGAAUCCUCCUCUUUUUUGUGUUGUUUUUUUUUAUUUCUCCCAUUUUGCUUGUUUUUAUGCUAUUUGCAGGUAGUGGGUGAAGAAGGAGCAGCCACCCAUGUUUGUGGCCUGAAAAUUGGGAAGUGGGUACCCUAAAUCACGUAAUCUGUCUGAAGGAUCAAAUCACAAAUGUAGCAAAAAUUUUGGGGCUAAAUGUAAUUUUUAGAAAAUUUAAGGUUAAAAUGCAAUUUAAGGAAAGUUUAGGAGUCUAAGUGAAAUUUAAAGAAAGUUUAAGGGUCAAAAUGAAAUUUAGGAAAAAUUUAGGGGUCAAAAUGUAAUUUUUAUUUUUUGAAUUUUUUUAUUUUUAUUUUUAUUUUUUAAAAAUUUUGAAAAUUAAACAACAAACUCUAGUCAGACAAAAAUUUAGUGUUUACACCUCAAACCAAAUAAUAAAAACCCAAUAAUUAAUUAAAUGUUCAAAGUCCAGAUUACAUGACCCAAGAUCCAUUUACAAAUUAAAGCCCAACUACCCUGGCCCAAGAACAAAAAAUUAGUAUAGAAACCCUAGCGCCGCAACCAAGCCGCUCAGUGCCGUACGCUCCGUACCACCCCUGCACGCCUCUGUGCGCCACCCUCAUGCCUCCAUGUCACCCCGUACCUGCAAACAAAAACAAGCAAACGACAGCAGGACAACAACAAAUAGGAAAAAUGAAGAAAAAUUGUAUUUUGAUUUAUUCUUUUUCAGUUUCGGCUACAAAAGCAAGAACAGAGCGAUUGUAAGGGGCUCUCUUUCUCUUUUUUUUUUACACAUAUAUGCAUAUUGAAUAGAAGAGCAAUAAAAAAAUUGAAAGGUGAUUUUAAGCACCUUAUAUUUCUGUGUUUCGAAUCUAUUUCAUUUUUUUCUUUUCGUUUUGUUUUUUAGUAUAACGAAAUAAAAUAGUAAUCUCACCUUGCGAAUAAGCCACUGGUUCUCAAUUGCUUCGUUCAAAUCGAAGUCAAGAAAGGAUUUUCAGGCUGAAAAUAGAUUCGCCGGAGCCCUCAAAACCACCGGUCACCGUUCUUGGUGGUGGAUCAGUGAUGGGGUUAAAAAAAUGGGGCUAGGGUCUGCUGGUAAAGAUGAAAGGAGGCUAGGGUUCGGUAGAAUGGGCUAAAUUGGAGCUUUUAUAAGCAACAUAGAACGGCGCCGUAUAGGGAGUAAGGGGCGCCGUAUAGGGAGUAAGGGAACCCGCGCGUCGACCCGACCCGUAGUAGGAUCCGCGCCCUUUUGCUCAAAAGGGAAAUUUGCGCGAUCAACCCUUCCCUUUUGUGCCACGUCUCAUUGGACUCCAAUUGGCCUCCUAUCCUUUUUUAAUUUUUUCCAAAAGCUUAUGCGCUAUUGCAUUUUAGUCCUUGUUUGUGCACUGCGUUUUGAGGGUCUGGUAUAUUUCCAAUUUAAGUCCCUCUGCGUUCGCGCGCACUGCACUUCGGUCCCUAUUUCGUUUUCAAUUACUUGUUUUAUUUAUUAAUUAAUCCUUUCAGUUUGUAUUUAGCUCACUUGAGUUUGUUUAUUUUAGUUAUGUAAUUUUUCGUUUUUUUUAUUCUUAUUUUUCAUUUCAAUUUUUUUAACCUUUCUAACAUAUGGUUUUAAAUUGUGUUAUCAAAUUUACUUUAUGUUCGUAUGUUAUUUUUAUACUUACGUUUGGAUAUAUGCUUUAUUUGUUUUACUAUAUGCCUAUUUAUUCUAAAGUUCUCUUCCAUCCUCCGUUGUUAAAUUUUUUUAUGUUAUUCAUCUAAAUACUCUUAUACAUUAGUAUUCUUAUAUAUAUUAUUUACGUUAAACUAUUUUUUUAAAUCUAUGUGUAUUAUUUAUUUAAACUAAUGUAUAGUAUUUCGUAUAUGCUUACUCUAAUCUUCUUCUUUUGAUAUUUAUUUUAAAAAUCCAUUUUUACAUUACUAAUUUGUAUACUGUUUAUUUUAGCUAUUUCAUCUUUUUGGUUUAUCUCAAACUUUCAUGCAUAUUACUUAUUUUAAAAUUAUAUAAAUUAAUCUUAAAUUAUUUUAUUUUAUUUUUUUUAUGUGUAUAUUGUUUCAUUAUAUAUUGAUUUGUUAUUCUGUCAUGUAUAUCGUUUAUUCUUUAUUUUUAUCAUAUCUUCAUUAUAUAUUGUUUUCAUGAUUUUUAUUAUUGUAUGCAUAUCAUCACCUUUAAGUAAAUAUAUUUUGUUUUUAAAAAAUAUUGUUGUAUGUUAUUUGCUCCAAAUCUCUUCUUUCACAAUGUUUAUUUCAAUAUUAUUUAUUAGUGUUAUUUUUAUAUAUAUGCAAAUCAUUUCAAACCCUUUUAUAUGUUGCUCAUUUGUAAUUUUUCAUAUUAAAUAGUUUUCAAAUUGUUUCCAUAUUGUUUUGUAUAUUAUUUAUAUUAUUUUGUUAUAAAUUUGUUUUCAUACUUAUAUAUACGUAAAUGUUUCCUAUAUUAUCAGCUUUGAAUGGUUGAACAUUAUGUUUUUACAUGCAUUGUUGAUCUUCUAUUGUUUUAUAUAUUUUCCUUUAAAUCUAUUUCAUUGUAUAUUUCCUUUUAAAUCAAUUUUUCAUAUAUAUAUAUAUGUACAUAUAUAUAUUUAAAAAAAAAUCUAUUAUGUAUAUAGUUCACUACAUAAGAACAUAUUUUAUUAUAUAUUCUUUUGUUAUUCAAGAACCUUUCAUGUUUUGUAUAUUAUUUAAGUUUUCUUUCAUUUUGUAUGUAUAUUAUCGAUUUAAAAUAGAUGUAUUAUUUUGCAUGCUAUUCGAUUCAAAAUCAUUUUUUAAUAAUUAUUUAUACAGUAUUCUUAUCCAUGUAAAUUAUUUCAAAUUCGAGCAUGUAGUAUUCGUUCAUCGAUUCAUCAUCUUUUUAAUUGUUUUGUAUCAUAUUGGUUUUAUUUUGUUUGGUACAUUAUGUGGUAAUUGUUUCAUAUUAUUUCAUGUAUAUUGGUUGCACAUCAUUAAUUCGCCUUCUUAUGUAUUAGUAUAUCAAUCGCUGUUUACCCAUGCUUGUAAAUUUUGUUGUUUUAAAUUAGUUGUUUAUUUGAUUUGAUUGGUUAAAUAAGAUUAUGUUGUCUUCAUUUACCAAGUGUCAUAACUUAUGUGUAUAUUAUCCCAUAUCAUUGUUUUCCACUUGGUUUGCGAAAUGUGGUUUUAUAAGGUCCAAAUCUUUAAGAUCAAUUUCGUUUUAUUUUAAGUCGCAUUAACUCGUUUUAAGCUACUUUUACAAUUAUUCAUUUAAAAAUUCUUUAAAACGAAGGCAAUACUCGAUGUUUGGCAAUUCGAGAAUCGUGCCUUAUCGUGUUGGGUUGCGAUUUUCCAUUUGUUCAAAACAAUCGAAUACUCCUUUGGAAUUUCGCUUAUGUCUUUAAAAAUUCUUCAAAACGAAGGUAAUGUUCGAUGUUUGGCAAUUCGGGGAAUCGUGCCCUAUCGUGCUGGGUUGCGAUUUCCUGUUUGUUCAAAACAAUCGAAUAUUCCUUUAGAAUUCCACUCAUGCUCUCUAAAUUCUAAAACAAGACAAUGUCCGAUGUUUGGAAAUUCAAGGAAUCGUGCCUACUGUACUGGGUUUUGGUUUUUCGUUGGACUAAAUAAUUGGGCAUCCUUUUGUAAUUCUCAAAUUAUAAACUUUUGAAAGUCAAAAUUGAUCGUGGUUCCGAGGGUAUAAAGGAUCGUGUCCUAUCGUGCUGGAUGUGAUGCUAUAUUCCUCUGAAACAAGAUGACUUUGACGACCAACUCGGGUUAUUCAAAUGUUAUUAAAAGGAACCACAUUUCAAAAACAUUUUUAAAUUUCAGACAUAAGGACAAUAUUUAAUCGAUUUGGUACCAAUUUUGGGCGUAAUAAGGGUGCUAAUCCUUCCUCAUAUGUAACCGACUCCCGAACCCAUUUUUUCAUAUUUACGUAGGCCAAAAUCGUUGUUUUAGUAAAAAAAAUAUUUUAUUAAAAUAACCAAAUCCUUAGGUGACCCGAUCACACCUAAACAAAAAAGAUUGGUGGCGACUCCAUAUUUCAUUUUUCAAAAAGUCGAUCGUCCUUUUUAAGACCUAAAAAGGGUGGUUUCGACAAUAGUAAUACGAUUCAAGAAUGCAAAUCCCAAAUGUAGGACUCAAUUUAUUAUUUCUAACAUUAAUUUUAAGACAAAAUUCGGCUUUUACUUAUCCAUAUGGGCAUGGUUUUAAUUAGAAAUCGGCAGUGAGAGGGAAGCAAAGGCUUGGAGCUGCUCGCCGGAGUCGAUCUGCUUUCCUGGAUCGGAGAAGGCAAAGAGGAAGAAGUCCAUGAAAUCAAAGUCCUUGUAAAGCUGAGGAUGUUGCUCAUCUAUAAGUUCUUUGGGUGCUUUAAUUAUGGUACCCUCAACUGGAAUGGCAAAGGCUGCUAUAGAAAAUCGAUCUUUAUCUCCACUCAUCAUUACUCUGUGAUUCACCGCUUUUAAUCUCCCAUUACUCCAUGCCUUCAACUUUUAAAAAUCAACAUCACUAAAUGUUUUAUGAUAAUUAUUCUCAUUCAAUCAUACUCCAUGCCUUGUAUUUCAUGUUCUAUUUAAUAGAUCAUGCAUACUUGUUAUGUUUGAGUAAAUUAAAAAUUGAACAUUAACCGUAUAUAUAUACAUCUUGAGAGGAUCUCCAACCACAAAGCAAAAGGAAGAAGGAGAUAAGGACAACUUGAUCCAUUUGCCAUCACUAACCUCAAUUUCUAGCCCUGAAACUUGAUCAUCACAAAUGAUUGUACUGACAGGUUUAUCAGUAUGAGCAAAGAGUCCUCUCUCAUACUCUCUCGGUGGAGGGGUCAUGUAUUUCAUAAACCGCACAAGUGUUUUGUAGUUUAUCAUCACUGACUCCCAUUUCUCUCCUAAUCCAUAACUAUCAAUUAUCAUUAACCAAAUUAACUUGUUAAGCUCCUCUAUUUGUGUCGACAUGGUAUGGACUGUGUUGCUGGAAUAAAAGAUCAAAAUAAAAUGACAAUAACUCUAAUAACUCUAAUUUGCAUAUAAUAAAAAAAAUUUGGAAAAAGAAAACAACAACAUUGGCCACAUGAUGAAAUAAUAAUAAAAAAUGAACUAUAAAACGAAGGAGGUGCAAUGGUGAAAGAAAAAAAAACCAAUAUCUUCAUUUUCAAUUUCGGCAACAUGAAAAAAUAUAUCAGUAAUUCAAUUCUGCCUGUUUUUAGUCUUGUAGAUGAUUAGAAAUUAGAAAUUAGAGGUGUUUAAGGGUGAAAGAAAAUUUUUAAGGCCGGCUCACCUCGUUAAAAUUAACCGAUUUACUAUUUUAAAAUAAUAAAAUAUUAAAAAUUCCUAUAUUGAUAUUGAUAUUUAUAUAUUUUUAUUAUUAAAAUUUUAAAUUUAUUUAAUUUAAAUAAAGGCUUAUUUGAGGACAAAAAUUUCUUGCACUUGGGUAGAGUCAAGCCUAUGUUUUAUUAAAUAUAUAUUUUUCUUUUACAUUAAUGUAUACUGUUAACUAAUAAGAUUCUUUUACAUUAAUAUAUACUGUUAACCAAUAAGAUUAAUAAGGAAGAGAAGAAGGUUAAUUUCGUGGUGAUUCACUUUUAGUUGUGACGAAGAGUCACCGAAUAUUCAGCUGGGUAAAGAUAAUUCUGGUGGUAUGCUCAGGUAGAAAGAGAAUGAGGGUGGAAGAAGGAUGGUUUUUCAGUCUUGGUCUCUCUCAAGUGUUGUGCUGAGUUAAUAUAUUGGAGGACAAAGAUGUCAACGCGCCUUGAGCUUAUUGACAAUGGAGUUACACUUUGUUCUCUUAUGGUGAUAAUGAUGUGACGUUCUAGUAUAUGACCCCUUAAGGCAGUUGAGUAAUCAAUAAGUCUGAAUCCUCAUGUGCGUUUCAUGCAAAUCUAGUGAGAGUAAUCUUAUGAAGGUUCACCAUUUUAUCAUGGUCUGAAGUUUUCCAAACUCGCCCAAUUGGAGAUUCCCUCAAUAUAGACACACGGAGGGACACAAGAAAGAAAUAUAACAUAUAUAUAAUUAAAUUAAAAUGUAAAUAGUUAACAUUUAAUUGCAUUAAAAAAUAUUAGAAGAGAAAGAAAAGGUAAUAAUCAAACAUAAUUAUCAUUUGAUAAUAUUUUUUUGGAAAAAUAAUUAUCAUAUGGGAGAGCAAAUAUCCCCAGGCAAUUGUGGAGAGUGACGCUAUUAGUUAAGAGUAGGUAAAAUUUGAUUCGAUUCAAAAAAAUUAAAAAACAUCGAAUUUUGAGUUAAUUGAUUUUUUCGGGUCAAAUCAAAUAAGUGAUUUGAGUUCGAGUCAAGUUGAAUUUUAUAAUUUAAAUAAGUAGAAUAAUUCAAAUAAUAGAUUAGUGUAAAUACUUCUUUGGUCCUUGUCAAUUUUGAAAAUGAACAAAUUAGUCUCUCUUUCAACAAAAAUUAAAAAAAAUCAAAAUAAUUUUUAAAAUUCAAAAAUUUAUCUUUUAAACCAUUAUAUAUAUUUUAAAAAAAAUCUAAAUAAUAUAUAAAAAAGUUAAAAUUUUACCUUUUUUCUAAAAAAAAAUCUAAAUAAGUUAAUUAAUGAUUCAAGUUUAUCAUAUUAAAAUAUCUUAUUUCCCCACCUUAUUUUGCUUUGAAAAAUUUUUAAAUAUAUAUGCUUUCAAAUUUACGUGCUCUAACAUGAAAUUAGUUAUACUGUAACAAAAUUUUAAUUUGACAUGUUUACUUUUUUUUAAUUUAAUUCGAACAAUUUUACUCGACUUAAAUUUUAUUUCAAAUCGAGUUAAGAUAAUAAAAUAAAAUUCAUCAACUCAAUUAACUUAAGAUAUUUUUACUCUGUUCAAUCUAACGUUAAUCCCUAUCUUGAGUGCUAUUAAGAACAACCCUAAGGUGGGCUAUCCAUCGGCCAUAGUUCGAAGGAUCAUGCAUGUACUCCGGUAACAAUGCGCUCGAUAUUUUGUGCUUUGUUUCCUCUCUUUAUUAUAAAAAAGAAAAAGAAAAAAAAAGAAAAAGCAAAUAUGCUCGAAAUGAAUCACCACACAUCAUCAAUCUCAGUCUUAAGACAAAAUACAAUGACGGUAUAAAAACUUCCGAUCCAAUAAUAUCACAACAAAACACCAAGCCAAAAUCAUUUGAGACGAAUCAACAAUAAUUCAGGCGAUGAGCCCAAUUUUUAAUAACGAAUAUAAAAGUUCCUGAUUUCGCUUUUUCUUACAAUUUAGACACAUUUUCUAUUUAUUUGAUAUCAUAGUUAUAGCUUCAUCAAAAAGUUGUACAUAAGAUGUCAAUUAUUGCUUCUUCUUUUACAACUUUCCCUUCCUUCUCUGCUACAUAUCUGAUUUAAUCCCAAAUCCAUAUCAACUAAGGCCCCUUUUAGACACAUAGUUUGAGAUAGUCCAUUUCGGAUCAUUUUAGAUGGUAUAGGCUAACACCUUCAUCAUCUCUUUUAUCCAACCCCAGUCCCUUGUCAUUUUCGUCUAUUGAACCCAUAUCCAGCCUAUUACAAAUAUUAUUAAAUUCGUUGAUGGCCAAAAGCCCAUUAGCCAUCAUUCACCAUUGAAUUUGAUCAUCACCACCUAACAAAGGUCUAACCUCAUUAGCUUCUUCAAUGCAAGAGAUAAAGUCAUCAUCACACUCAACAUUAAAUAUAAGUAUUGUUCCCAAAAAGCACGGUUAAAAUUCUCACGUGCACCGCCAAAAGUAUUGGGACUCACCUCAUCCCACUGUGCAGUUAAUUUGAUGUCAUCUUCUAUCAUUUUCUGAUAAAAAAAUUUCCGGCCAACCACUGCUACUCGGAUUUGCAUAACAACACCACUUAUCGGACUUUAUAGUCUUUGUUGGUUCGCCUUUGAUAAAGCAUAGGCUACUAGAGUAGUAACAUCGAUGCAAAACUGAUCGAAUAAUAAUAUCAACAUUAACAUUCUAAUCUAACCUUAAUGCAAUUCACCCAACUAAUUCGUAGUAACUUGGAACAACCAAAUUGAAGAGAAAGGGAGCAUAAUCAACUAUAGGCAAUGAAACAAUUAGAAGCUGAAACUUCAAGCAAAUUCAUCAAUCAAGGUAAUGGAACUUAUUUUUCUUAUAAAUAUAAAAAUCCACAACAAAAGUGGUUGAAUCCAUGAAUACAACAAAAAGGAGUAGAAAACCGGUCGGGUGAAAUCAAUUUUUCUUUUUGGAAUUAAGUUAUAUAUUCAGUAAAUGAUUAAAUUACAUUUUUAUUAUUUUUUAGAAUCAAAUAUAAUUUUAUCAUUAUUAAUUUAAAAUUUUAAAAAUUAUAAAAUAACUGAAAGAGAAAUAUUUAUUUUAGAGAGACUAAGGCUCACGCAAACUCUUUGGCUCCGCCCUGUAAAUAACAAUUAGGCCAACCAACAAAAUACUGGGGACACUUAUAAUGGGCAAAGGGAAACUUGCUUUUUGGGUUAAAAUUAAGUUAUAUAUUUUUAUCAAAAAGUUAAAAUGCAAUUACAUCAUUAUGUUAUCUUAUACCUUUUAAAGUUUUAAAAAGAUUAAAAGAAAAUUCAAUCACUUAAACUUAAUUCUUCAAAAAAAUAUUUAAAUAUAAAAUAUAUGAAUUUUUUUAUAUUAUGUUAUUACAUAUUUACCUUUUUAAUAGUUUAUAUAUACAAGAAUAAAUUAGUAAUUUCAUAUAGUGAAGCACGUUAAAGUGGGGCAAGCAAUUAUCAUAGUCACUCUAUACCCACUACUCAAAAGAAAAAGUCCACUCUAUGCCAUCCCAAAUCCACUUUUCAAAAGAAAAAAACCCACUCCAUUUGCAAUGGAUCGAUUUGGAAUCUAUUGGGCGGUUCGGGUUUUGCAAUCUCUAAUUAUGAAGAUAUUAUUCUUUGGCUUAAUAUAUUGAUUAAUCCCUAAAUUUGGUAACUUUUCUCAAGUUAGCCCCUAAACUUUUUUUGAGAUCAAAUAGGUCCUUAAGAUUGGCAUAUCAGUUAUACAAAUUUGACUCUAUCAUUAACACUUCUUUUUAACAAGGUUGCGUAGCCAAACAUGUAGGUGACCUGAAUAACACGUGUUGUCCUAUUUAAUUAUUUAAAAAAACAAAAAAUCCUUCUCACCAACAAAAAAGAACCCUUAAAAUUAAAAAUAUAUAUACAUUUAAAAAAAUUAAAUAUAUAUGAAUUAAAUUUAAAAAAUAUGCUAAACAAUAAAAAGUAUAGUAAAAAAUUUAGAAAAUUGUUAUGUCAACUUAAUUGUCAAAGUCAAGGGACUAAAUGUUAUAUCCACCCUUUAUCAUAAAUGUAGCUUUCAACCAUUAUAUAUUGUCGUGAAUAUAUUAUUAUUUAUUGUUAUUGACAAAUAAGCUAAAAUUUGAAUUUACUUGAAACAUCUUAAUCGAAUUAUUUAAAUGAAACAACAAUAAGAAGACAAUGAAGUUUGUGUACAAGCAAAAUUGGUUCAAUAAAAAAAGUUGUAGCUACUGAUCUAUUGUCUGCUGUCUUCUUCUGAUUUAACCUUAGUCUCUCACCUAGAAAAAAAUUUAACAAUUUUUAUAAUUCUGGUUUAACUUUUAAUUCACGUGUGAUGUUUUAAUCUAUAAGUAAUUAUGAUAACAAUUUUUUACACUUUUAAUUGAGGUAAAAAAGAUCAGUGUAAUUUAUGGCUACUAAUUAGCUCUCGAAUUUGAACUUUAAUGCGUGCAUGGCUUCAAAUCCUCAAGUUCAAUGAGUAGGCGUCUUAUUGAAUCCAUGAACUGCCAUCUUACUGAAUUCAUACACCAACAUUACUCAACACAAUAGAUUUAGUAACCUACAAUUACAUGAUUAUAACAAACUAUAACAUGCUAAUACAUCACGAGAAUGCAAAUCCCAAACAUGGGAUUCAAUUUAUUAUUUGUAACAUUAAUUUAAAACCGAAAUCGAGCUUUUACUUGUGGAUAUGAUCAUGUUCUUAAUUGGAAAUCGGUGGUGAGAGAGCAGCAAAGGCGUCGAUCUGCUGGUUGGAGUUGAACGUCUUUGCUAGGUCUGAAGCGGUAAAAAAGAAGUACUCCAUGAAAUCGAAGUCUUUGUAAAGUUGAGGAUGUUGGUCAUCUAUAAGCUCUUUGGGUGUCUUGAUUAUAGUACCCUUGUUAGGAAUGGCGAAGGCUGCUAUAGAAUAUCGAUCUUUAUCUCCACUCAUUAUCACUUUGUGCAUCCCCGAUUUCAAUCUUCCAUUACUCCAAGCCUUCAAUUUAAAAAAUCAACAUCAAUAAUUAUUCACUUUCAACAUCAAUAAUCUAAUCUCAAUAUAUCUAUAACCCAAGAUCUUAUGUCAACAUUGUAGCGACGUAAAAAUUUCUUCUUUUGGUCACUAAUUGAGGUGAUUUAUUGGAAAUUUAAAAACCGACUUUCGAUUUUAUUAAAAAAAGGAGUCGCCACCGAUCCUUUUUUCUAGGUGUGAUCGAACACCUAAUAAAUCCUCUUUUUCAAAAUAAAAUUUAUUUUUUAAACAAAAAGAAGGCCGAGUUUAGGUCUACGUUUAAAGCCAGAGAAAAAAAUAGGGUUCGGGAGUCGGUUACGCACGAGGAAGGUAUUAGCACCCUCGCGACGUCCAAAAUUAGUAUCUUAUUAAACUUGUGUUGUCUUGAUUUUCAAAAGUACAAAUUCAAUCUGACAUUUACUCGUGAUCCAAUUGAAAAAUGAGAAUUUUUAGUUUUCGAUUUUUUAGAAAGGGUGUCCCGUUUUUAACACAAGCCGAUGAAUUUCACCCAACAUAGCGAUGAAAUCGAUGGCUUAAUAUUAAAUCGGUACAUUGCCUUAUUUUUGAAAUUAAUUAAAACAUGAGAAAAAAAAUUCCUAAAGUGAGAAAUUAGAAAUAGAUAAACGAUACAAAAAAAAGAUAUCAUUAAUGAAAAAUAUUAACAUGAAAUACUAGAAUAUUAGAAUAACAAUAAUAACGAUAUUUAUAAAAAAAACAAAUCAUUUACUAAUAAUAAAAUAGGAAAAAAUGAUAUAUUUGGUAAUAAUAAUAUAAAAUAAAAAUAUGUACAUAAAAAUACAUAUAUAUAUGCAUAUAAUAAAUAUAUGUAAUAAUAAUAAUAUCUACAAUAAAAGAAAAUAUUAGGAAACGUACAUAAAAAUAUAUACAUAAAAUUUUUUUUACAACAAUAAUAUAAAAUAAUGAUAUGUACAAAAUAUAUAUAUGUACAUAAUAUAGUUAUAAAAAUAUAUAUUAAAUUCGGAAUAGGUAAAUAAUAAUAAAAAGGGUAAGAAUAUACCGAAGCCCCAAUGUUAUGGAUUACUGAAAUUAAUCUCUUUUCUUCUCGGGCUGUUGAAAUGGGCCUUUGUUGGUGAUCUUCACCGGAUCAGAUUGCCUUAAAUAGAGUCAGGUUGACCCGACCAUUUUAAAAUUUAAUAUUUUUUAUUAUUGUAGUUUUUUUAGACCAAUUUUUGUUUAGCCCAAUUACAAAUAAAAUUUACAUAAAAGAUACAAAAUCCAAAUUACUUCAACCCAACACAAACCAACCUCAGCCCACUAACUUAAUAAUCCAACACAACCAACCCAACCCACUAACUUAACAUAUCACCCAACCCACUAAUUAACCCAAACUAAAUUUAACCCAUCAAACCUUACAUAAACCAACCCAUUAACUAAAAUAUUUCUUUUUUUUAAUACUAAACCCCCCCCCCCAAAACAAACAAGUUCCAGCAGCAAACAAAGAAAAUCCAAACUUCAAGCUGCCUAUUCUCCCUCUCCUUCCACCGUGCGCGUCACCAGCAGCCACCGUAUGCACCACAUGAAAUCAGGCUACGGGUAGUUAAGGUUUGGGUUUUGGGGUGGCUGAUAAUCGAUUGGCUCGGGUAUUUAGAGUGGGUUCCGGUUUGUGAGCUUGGUUGUGGUGUUAAUGGUGGUUAGUCCUUGGUUGCUUGGUUGCUUGCCGGAUAUUGGAGUUUUUUCUUGCUUAGAUUGUUGAAUGUUCCUUUUUGUUGUUUUUUUUUUGCUGGAAAAUUUUUUUGCUGAAAUUUUUUUUUUGCUAUUUUUUCUCAAAUGGGAGAAUCCUCCUCUUUUUUAUGUGGUUUUUUUUAUUUCUCCCAUUUUGCUUGUUUUUAUGCUAUUUGCAGGUAGUGGGUGAAGAAGGAGCAGCCACCCAUGUUUGUGGCCUGAAAAUCUGGGAAGUGGGUACCCCAAAUCACGUAAUCUGUCUGAAGGACCAAAUCACAAAUGCAGCAAAACUUCUGGGGCUAAAUGUAAUUUUUAGAAAAUGUAGGGUUAAAAUGCAAUUUAAGGAAAGUUUAGGGGUCUAAGUGAAAUUUAAAGAAAGUUUAAGGGUCAAAAUGAAAUUUAGGAAAAGUUUAAGGGUAAAAAUGCAAUUUUUAUUUUUUGAAAAUUUUUUAUUUUUAUUUUUUAAAAAUUUUGAAAAUUAAACAACAAACUCUAGUCGGACAAAAAUUUAGUGUUUACAGUUCCCCUUCUUUGCUCAUCUCUGUGAAACAGGGAUAGUGAAAAGACUUAAAAGCACUAAAUUUUGUUCGAUUGUCCAAUCUUCAUUCUUUAUUGAAAAAUAAAAAAAAUUAAAAAUAGCUCGGGAUGCGACCCGAAGUUCAACUCACCUCUCGAAUUAUGAGUUGAUCUUUUGAAAAAGAAAAAAAUUGAAAAUACCUCAGCGUAUGACCUGAGGCUUAACUCACCUCUCGCAAUAUGAGUUGAUUUUUUUGAAAGACAGAAAUUGAAAAUACCUCAAUGUGUCUUGAGGCUCAACUCAUUUCUCACAAUAUGAGUUGACCUUUUUUAAAAAAAAAAACAGGAAUUGAAAUUACCUCAGCGUGUCCCAAGGCUCAACUCACAUCUCGUAAUAUGAAUUGAUUUUUGAAAAACAUAAAUUGAAAAACGGAAAUCAAAAAUACCUCAACGUGUCCUGAGGCUCAAUUCACCUCUCGCAAUAUGAGUUGAUUUUUGAAAAAUAUAGAUUGGAAAAAACAGAAAUUAAAAAUACCUCAGCGUGUCCUGAUGCUCAACUCACCUCUCGUAAUAUGAGUUGAUUUAAAAACAGUCAUUAAGAACAGAAAUUAAAAAUACCUCAGCAUGUCCUGAGGCUCAACUCACCUCUCGCAAUAUGAGUCGACUUUUUUUUUGACAAACAAUAAUUGAAAAUACCUCGGCGUGCCCCGAGGCUCAACUCACUUCUCGCAAUAUGAGUUGAAUUUUGAAAACAGAAAAAACAUCAAAAUACUAAAUCCUGUCAUCUGGUUGAAUUCAGGUGUCUUUUCCUUUGAUUCAGUACAGCUAUCAUCACACCCUCUUGCUCUAUUGGAGUACCUGUAUAUGUCAUGCAUGAUGUCAUCAUGAUAUGCACAUGUUUAUCUUAAAUGCCUUUAUGCCUACAUGAUUAUGCUAUGCGCCUUAGGCAUGUUUGUCGUAUGUCCUUUUUCGUCACGAUUUUUGAGGGUCUGCAUUCGUUGCUUCGAUUCUCGACCUUCUCUUCAAACCUCGUACUCGUCUCCAAGCUUCACGAGUAAUCAACAUUUCUCAAAUAUCACCUUUUUGCCCCUGGUUGAACUUUGUACUUGCUUUGAGGCUCUUGUACUUAUCAAAUUCUUAUCCGGGUAAUGCUUAGCACUUCUUGUGUUUAGAGUAUGUCAUUUCACUAUUUAUCACGUAAAUGAACCACAUAAUGAGAUGCAUGAAAAUGGUUAGGUAGGGACAAAAGGAUACCUCACAUUUAUUCAUUUCAAAUUUAGCAAACAAAGAAAGUUAAUCAAUGAUAGUAAAAAAAAGUGUCAUAAAGAGAAAGGGGAUCGCAUUUCAACAAAUACAAAUGCUCUAGAUAUUCAACGCAUGAACUCUUCCACGUUCCUCAAUCAAGAAUCUUUUCGAGCAUGGCUUUCUUGCAUAAGAGAUUUCGAGUUUUCAGAAAUGCUUCAAAUACUGUAGUCUCUCUGUUUGACCCACCGUUCAAAAUGCCUUGCUUUUUAAGCCAAUGCUUGCUUCAUUAGAAUGCCCUUUCGGGUUUUCAUCCUAAUCUUUUGUGUUAAUCAAGGCGCCCUUUUCGGGUUUUCACCUUGAUCCCUCUCUCUUUUUCUUUUUUUUUUUAGGCAUAAUACUUCUUCACAGUAUCUGAAUUCACUGGAUUAGGUAACUCCUUCCCAUCCAUUUCAGUGAGAAUCAAAGCUCCGCCCGAGAAUGACUUCUUUACGACGUAUGGUCCUUCCCAAUUUGGUGCCGAUUUUCCUCGUAAGUCAUUCUGUAUUGGGAGAAUCUUUCUCAACACGAGUUCUCCUUUAUGGAAUUCUCUUGGCCGUACCUUCUUGUCAUGAGCAGCGAUCAUUCUCUUUUGGUACAUCUGCCCGUGACAAAUUGCCUUUAAACAUUUUUCUUCGAUGAGGUUUAACUGGUCAUAUCGAGCUCGAACCCAUUCUGCUUCCUCUAAUUUCGACUCCAUUAAGACUCGUAACGAGGGGAUCUCAACUUCGAUGGGUAACACAGCUUCUAUUUCAUAGACCAGAGAGAAAGGAGUUGCUCCCGUAGAUGUUCGUAGAGAUGUGCGAUAUGCAUACAAAGUAAAUGGUAACUUCUCGUGCCAGUCUUUAUACGUCUCGGUCAUUUUCCCAAUAAUCUUCUUAAUAUUCUUGUUGGCUGCUUCAACAGCUCCGUUCAUCUUUGGGCGAUAGGGCGAGGAGUUAUGAUACUUUAUUUGGAAUCGCUCACACACUUCUUUCAUCAUCUUGUUGUUCAAAUUCAAGGCGUUAUCUGAAAUGGUUCUUUCAGGCAAACCAUAUCGACAAAUGAUUUCCUUUUUCAAAAACCUGUAAACUGCAGUCUUCGUCACAUUGGCAAACGAUGUGGCUUCUAUCCAUUUUGUGAAGUAAUCAACAACCACAAAAAUGAAUCGGUGUCCAUUAGAAGCUUUUGGGGAAAUUGGCCCUAUAACAUCCAUGCCCCACAUAGAAAAAGGCCACGGAGAAGUCAUGACGUGAAGGGGCAAAGGGGCUAUAUGAAUUUUAUCACCAUAAAUUUGACAUUUGUGGCAUUUUCGUGUGAAAUUAAUGCAGUUGCUUUCCAUCGUCAGCCAGUAAUAAUCGAGUCUCAUAAUAUUCCUGGCCAUAGUGAAACCAUUGGCAUGUGUCCCGUAAAUUCCCUUAUGGACAUCUUCAAGUAUUUUUCUGGCUUCAAUAGCAUCUAUGCAUCUCAAGAGUACCUGAUCUUUUCCUCUUUUGUACAGGAUGUCCCCAUCAAGAACGAAUCCCGCUGCCAUUCUUCUGAUUGUUCUUUUGUCGUUCUCAUUUGCUUGCUCGAGAUACCUUUGAUUCUUGAUGUAUUCUAAGAUAUCAUGAAACCAUGGCCGUCCAUCUGGCUCUUUUUCAAUGCUGAAACAAUGUAUAGGGACUUCAUAUAUGCUCAUUUGAAGAGGCAUUAUUUCUGUUUCUCUGUUUGCUUUAAACAUUGAAGCUAAAGUGGCCAGGGCAUCAGCUAACUGGUUUUCUUCUCGUGGGAAGUAAUUAAAAGUUAUUUCUUUGAAUUAUUUAAUCAACCCUGCCACGAGAUCACUAUAUUUGACUAAUUUUGAAUCCCUUACUUCCCAAUCUCCACGAAUUUGAUAAAUCACCAAUGUUGAGUCUCCGUAUACCUCUAAAGUUUGGAUGUUUCGUUACAGGCCUCAUAUUCCGCUAUGUUAUUGGUACAGAAGAAAUUCAACCUGGCAGUCAACGGAUAAUGGUUUCCUUCUGGUGAUACUAAGACUGCUCCAAUCCCAUGCCCCAAUGCAUUCGAUGCACCAUCAAAGCUCAUCUUCCAUGACUUUUCUUUUGAUGACUCACAUUCUUUUUCUGUAAGGCACAUCAAGUCUUCAUCUGGGAAAUCAAAUCUCAAUGGCUCGUAUUUCUCCGUUGUUCAAGUUGCUAAGAAGUCAGCGUUGCGCUCCCUUUUAUCGACUUUUGGCUCAUAUAGACGAUAUCAUAUUCUGAUAGUAAGAUCUACCAUCGUGCCAUUCUUCCUGAGAGUGCAGGUGAUUCCAUCAUCUACUUUAUUGGGUCUAACUUUGAAAUUAGCCAUGUCGUAUGAUACAGCAUAUAUUGCCUAAGUCUCUGAGCUACCCAAACCAGAGCGCAACAGUAUUUUUCUAUGGACGAAUACUUUGCCUCAUAUUCAGUGAACUUUUUACUGAGGUAGUAGAUCGCAUUUUCUUUCUUUCCGAACUCGUCAUGUUGCCCCAGUACGCAACCUAUUGAAUUCUCGAACACAGUCAAAUAUAAUAUCAAUGGCCUUCCCGGCAUUGGUGGUACUAGCACUGGAGGACUAGACAAAUACUGUUUUAUCUUGUUAAAAGCCACUUGGCACUCCUUGUUCCAUUCUCCGGGAUUAUGUUUUCGAAGGAUUCGAAAGAUUGGGUCGCAUUGGUUGGUAAGUUGAGCGAUAAAUCGGGCGAUGUAGUUUAAUCUCCCUAAAAAUCCUCUGACUUCCUUUUGCGUGCGCGGAGGUGGUAACUCUUGAAUGGCUUUUAUUUUAUCUGGAUCAACUUCAAUGCCUCUCUCACUAACAAUGAAGCCAAGCAAUUUUCCUGAGGUAGCCCCAAACGUACAUUUGGCCGGAUUGAGCUUUAGCUGGAACUUUCUCAGUCUGUCGAACAACUUCUUCAGGUUCACUACAUGCUCUUCUUCCCCUCAGGAUUUAGCAAUCAUAUCGUCGACAUAGACCUCUAUUUCUUUAUGCAUCAUGUCAUGGAAUAACGUCACCAUAGCCCUCUGAUAUGUUGCCCCAGCAUUCUUUAACCCAAAUGGUAUCACCUUGUAGCAGAAUGUUCCCUACAUUGUUACGAAGGUAGUUUUCUCCAUAUCCUCAGGGGCCAUCUUGAUCUGAUUAUACCCCGAGAAUCCAUCCAUGAAAAAGAAUAAUGAAUGUUUUGCUGUGUUAUCCACCAACGUAUCAAUAUGUGGUAAGGGAAAAUUAUCUUUGGGACUUGCUCGAUUCAGGUUACGAUAAUCCACGCACAUUCGUAUUUUGCCGUCUUUCUUUGGUACCGAAACUAUGUUGGCCACCCACUCUGGAUAUUUGGAGGCUUGUAGGAAGCCAGCAUCAAAUUGCUUCUUGUCUUCCUCUUUUAUUUUCAACAACAUCUCAGGUCUCAUCCGUCUUAGCUUUUGUUGAAUGGGUUUGCAUUCUGGCCUUAAUGGGAGUUUAUGGACCACUAAAUCUUCAUCCAGCCCUGGCAUGUCCUGAUAUGACCAUGCGAAUACAUCUUUGUACUCACAGAGCAAAGCAAUCAAAUUAUGCCUGGUGCCCCCUGAAAUAGAGGUCCCAAUCUUCACUUCUUGCUUCCUUUCUUCAGUUCCCAAGUUUAUUGUUUCAACAUAUUCUUGAUGAGGCAAAAUAUGUUUAUCCUCUUGUUUCACCAUUCUUAGCAAGUCAGGAGACGAGACAUAGUCUUCAGCAUUUUUUCGGCUUCGAAUUCUCCUAAACAAACAGCCUUCUCAAAAUUAAUUUCAGGACUCGUAACGGGUUUGUUCAUGUAAUUGAUAUCUAAGCACCUGAAAGUUGAAUGGAAAAGGAAACUAUAGAGGGGCAUCUAAGUAUUGAAACCAACAAACUGAAUGUUAUGGUAUGGCAUGAGGCAAAUGUAAAGAUAGGCUAUGAAAUGAUUAUGGAAUUAGUGAUAAUGCGAAAAAUUGUGACAAAAUGCAUCUUCAUUUAUAUUCAUUUAAAUGAUAAAGAGCGAAUGCAAGUUCUUACAAAAGAAUUCUAUUAUAUCUAAGGACAUAACAGAAUGUUAACGUUUGAGCAUUACUCUGAAGACUUAUAAACUACAAGAAGAUCAUCGGCAGUCCAAUUGUUCAACAUGAAACCCGGAGGACAAGGGCGUAUCUUUGAGACGUCUUUACUUACGUCAGCUCCUUUGUCAAUGACAUUUAUAAUGAUAUUCUGAAAACCCUCUUCGAUCAUUAACAUUGUGCUUUGUGCACUAUACUGCCCUAGGUAUAUCAUUCCCGUAGACGUAAAUGUUCUUAACAAAGGAGGGAAUUCCAUGGGCUCCCAUUCUGGUUCUCGGCCUAAUGUUCUUCCGAUCCUUCUUUCCUGAUUUUUCUUCCACUGCUUUCUUCUUUGACGCAUGUCCAUCUGGAACCCUAAACCGUAUCGAGCCUUGUGGUGUACUGGGUUUAGAGCCCCGACUAUUCCUUCCAGAUAUCUUCCUAAACCUCUUAUCGCUCGAGCUCCCCUUCCUACAGUCAACUUGACACCCGUUCUAGUAUUUCUAGACAGUUUUGGCACCCGAAUUCUGUUUCCCUCGGUGACAAAAGUGGCAUUGAUGAAUUCAAGGGAUCGAAAGGAGCAUUCCACUGCGUCUUUGCUUACUUUAAGGUAUGGCGCAUCAGCAGAGAUAGAUGCGACAAUGUCUUCUUCUCCCUCGAUAGUGACCAAACAGCCAUCCAUGAUAAAUUUCACCUUUUGAUGGAGGGAUGAUGGGACCACUCCAGUGGAAUGGACCCAGGGUCUUCCCAAAAGGCAGUUAUAUGAGGGUGUAAUAUCCAUGACUUGGAACUUGACAUCAUAUAUGUAGGGACCCACUUCUAGAAGGAUCUCAAUCUUCCCCAUGACUUCACGCCUUGUCCUAUCGAAUGCCCUUACCGUGGAAUGACAGGGCCUUAAAUAAGACAAAUCCAUCAGAAUUCUGGAAAGUGUGGUCAAAGGCAUGACGUUGAGUGCCGACCCAUUAUCGAUGAGCACGUUCGGUAUUAUGUAGCCCUUGCAGCGAGUCGUAAUAUGCAGUGCUUUCACUGAGCCUCUACCAUUGGGUGGUAUUUCAUCAUCACUAAAAGAGAUGAAAUUAUCCGCAUUCAAGUUGUUCAUCCAUCUGUCAAGCUUCUCUACGGAUAUAUUGUUUGCCACAUAAGCUUGAUUUAACACUUUCAGCAAAGCAUUCCGGUGUGGCUCCGAAUUUAAUAGCAGGGAUAAAACUGAGAUUCAUGCUGGUUGCUUAUUCAAUUGUUCCACCAUAUUGUAUUAAUUGUGCUUGAUAAAUUUCAAGAACUCCUGUGCUUCCUCUUCAUCCACAGGCUUUUUAGUCUCUUGCACGGGUGGAAUUUCUUGCUCGACUUCGACCUCAUGCAUCACUCCUUUCCCUUUCUGCUUCCAGUCACUGUUCUUCUUCACUAGUUCGACCUCUUUCGAAUAACAUCUUCCACUUCGGGUAAAAUGACCUACCUCUCCUACAUCUCCAGUUAUGGCUUUGAGUUUUUCAUCUUCAGGUGUAACGAUAUUGACGUCGUAUUUCCAUGGUACGGAUUUGUCAUCUUUGUACGGGAAAGGAGACGGUACUUCGAUUAUCAUUUUUGGUUUCACCGACUCUUUCGUCACGUCGUAAUAAAUUACUAAUGGUCGAUUAGCGCUAUAAGGAGGACCUGAUGAUUGGCUGUCAGAAGCGCAUAUUUCUCUUUCGUUGGCCUCUUCCCUCUUGUUAAGGACCCUGAUUUCCUUAUUAUCCAUCUGGUCUUGAAGAAACCUUUUAAAAUCCUUACAUGACUGAAUGUCAUGUCCUACAAUUCCAUGAAAAUUGCAAAAACUUUGACCUUCUUCUCCAAGAAUUCUAUCGGGGUGACAAAGCAAUCCUUUCUUAACCAGAACCUCCCAGAUUUUUUACAGAGGCGUCCUUAUUUCUGAAACACAUCUUCUGACUUUUCAUUCGUCCUCUUUCCCUACUGUGCUCACAUUUCCUUCGGUAUGGUUAGGGAACGGGUUCCCAGUUGCGUUACUGGCACUAUCGAAUCGUAGGAUACCCGCGUCAAUGAGUCCUUGAACUCUCCUCUUAAAAGCUAGACAAUUCUCCGUGGAAUGCCCCUAGUUCCCCGUGUGGUAUGCACAACUAGCGUUUGGAUCGUACCACUUUGGGUAUGGAGGUUUAAGGGAUGCCAUGUAAUGGGGAGAAAUUAGCUGUUUCUCCAAAAGUUUUGGGUAUAAUUCCCCAUACGAUCAGGGAUGAGAGUAAAUUGCGGUCUCUCGGAAUUAGGCCUUGCUGGUCUUGGUUCAUUUCUGGGCUGGCUUUGAGCGGGUACCGUGUUUUGUGGGAAUGUGGUGACGGGUUUUUGGUUGUUCGUGGCGUAUACGGGGUAGGAAGGAGGUGGUGCUUGGUAGUAAGGGGUUUGAAAGGGAUAAUAGAAAUUUAGAGGAGGAUAAUUUCGAGGUCGGGGUUGGUUUGGAUAUGGAUUAGGGAUAUUACAAUAUCCGCAAAGUCCUUCGUGGCACUUCCCACUAAUUUGUCAUAAAACGGUGCUUUCAAAGUAUUGAUGAAGAGAACGGUUAUCUCCGUUUUUGUUAGUGGGGGUUCCACUUGGGCUGAGACGUCCCUUUAUCUCUGCGCAUGCUGUCUAAAAGUUUCUGACGGCUUUUUCUCCAUCAUUUGCAAAGUCAUCCGGUCUAGCACCAUAUCCGAUACAUACUUGUAUUUCUCACAGAAUGCUGAUGCCAAGUCCUUCCAGGAUCGGAUCUUUUCCCUACUAAACUGGUUAUACCACCGAAGAGCUGAUCUUACUAGACUAUCUUGAAAGCAAUGUAUGAGUAGUUUAUCUUCGUUCACGUAACCCGUCAUUUUUCGGCAAAACAUUACAAGAUGCGCUUUUAGACAUCUUGUCCCAUCGUACUUUUCAAAAUCAGGCACCUUGAACUUCGGAGGCAGAACAAGAUCGGGCACCAAGCUGAGUUCUUUGGCGCUCAAUGCAGAGAAGGCUUCAGUACCUUCUAUCGCCUUGAGCCUUUCUUCCAAGCUCCUAUAUUUGUCCUGAACAUCAUGAUCGUUCAUUUUCAACCUAGCUAUCUCUGUUGGAUCGUCCAAAUCUGGAACGAGUGGAUCAGCAGGACUAGCUCCUGGGUUUGAUACGAAUACUCCUUACCCUAUGUGAGUAGGUGGCACCGCUCGUUGCUCUAGGUCUGUGGGUUCCCCUUGGGUGUACCUUCUUUGUGUUGCGUGGGCAUGCGGCGGAGUGAAUCGUGGGGGAUAGAGCGGAUCUUGACUGUGAUUAACUCUUGACCGAGGUUCCUCGACGUCAGGGCUCUACAUGGGUCCCUUUCCUUUAACUAAAACUGACAUCAUUUCCAUUAUUUUGGCCAUUUGGUCCCUUUAUUCGAGUGAUUCUUCUCGAGAUCUCACCAUUAAAUCUCUUGUCUCUUGCUACGACUUGACCAACUGCUCUUGCAAUUCCCUCUGAAAUCUUUCCAUCCUUUCAAUUCUUUCAUUGAAUUCAGCCUCCAUUGCCCUAGCUUGUCGACGCGUUCUAUAUGAAUGACGUGGUUCCAGUAUCGUGGUAUUACAACUGCGAAUUGUAUGUUUUAACCUCAGCGAACGAUUAUGGGAUAUGCAAUAAUGAAUGAAUGAAUGAAUGCAUAAAUGUCAAAUGAAUGUUAAUCAUGAAAGAAAUGCAAGAAGUUGGUGUUGAUUUCAAGAUAGCCCCUAUUUUAGGCAUUCCAUUCAUCAAAAGAGUUCAUUACAAAAUAUUUUAUCGUUUUCGAUUCAGCUAUUACACAAACUUCCUAGCUAUAUCGCUGUAUUUCUUUACUCGCGCUAAGAACUCUGAUAUAUUUGAUCUUUGACUUGGAGGGAAUUGGCAAAUGAGAAUUUCAGCUUCUUCCGAUAAUUGCACCACGUGCAUGGCUACCCCACGAACUUCAUUGAUCAAAUAGCUAAGUUGCAUUUCUUUUUCUUGGAGUCCCUCUUCGUAAGCACGAACGUCUCUAUCAUACUGACUAUCUUUUUCUUCCAAAGCCUUCAAGAGAGUAUCUAGCUGUUGUUGACGAUCUUGCAGCAUACCUUCUAACUCUCUUAUCCUUUCUUUUAGUUCUUGACGUUUAGAUCGACUAGUCAUUACCUCAGCAGACACAGCUUCAUAUUCGGCGUUCUUCUUCCUCAAUUCUAUCAUAGCCCGCGCAGCAUUUUCUUUCUCUUUCUUCGCUUUUCCUUUCCAAAAUUCCAUCCUGCCUUUAAUGUUGCUUAUCUCUUCUUUCCAUUUUGCCGACGACUUGCCCAGCCCACUAAUUUUUAUUAUGCCUCUUAACUUUUUAUUUUCCAGAUGGAGGUCCCUUAAGUCAUUUUUCACUACUUGAACUUUUUUCCACUUUCUCGGUUCUGGAUCUUUCAAUCUGAUCGUCGAUCUUCAAUUGUAGUUUUCCUCUUGAAGAGCACUAAGGUCCCGAGACAUCUUGGCCUUUUCUCGUUCAAAUUAUUGUCUUGCCAUUUCUAGCUCAGACGGCAUUUCCUCCGAGAAAAGAUUCUGGAUGGUGUAGUUUAUUGACGAGAUUUGCUGACUGUUCACCCGUUGCUUUCUCCAUAUGUCGUAAUCUUAGGUGAGAGUGUCAGCGUAUAAAGCUAAUUCCAUGAGAUGAAUUCUUUUCCAAGACUCAGACUGUGCUAAUCCUCCAGUAGCAGGUAUGAAUUGUCGCGAAGAAAAUUGCCUUUGGACCAUUAACGGAGCAUAUCCAACUCCUCCCCAUAACCCGAGUAGUGGCACCCAAUCUUGAUAUCCGACCUUGUAUAGCAGAAUUGACAGGUGUAUCCACGGGGCUCUCCAAGUUACGUCAUCGGCGCGAAGAUUCUGAAAGACUGAGACCCAGUGUUGUUCAGUGACCUCCUUUGGCCAUUCUUUCUUAAGAUAAGCUUCUAACGGGAAGAAUGUUUUAGAAAACAUAUGGAACGGUGUGCGCUCUACUUUCCAGAAGUGGCUAAGAAUCUAAACAUUAAGUAACUGCGCGUAUUCGAUAAAACGACCUUCCUCUUUCUUCCUACACCUACUUAUGGAUCUGAAGGUUUCGGCCAGGAUAGUUGGGACGGGGUUGAUUCCUUGUUUUAACCUUUCAAAGAAAUCUACCACCGCAACUUCUAUGUGUCCAAGGACCUUCGGGAAGAUGAUCAAACCGUAAAUGGCCAGAGCGAAUAGAUUUACCCUUUUCAACAUGUCGGGAGGGUUCAGAACCAAGUCUCGUAGGGAAGACCAUGGAAUGCAAAUGGUUUCAUUCUUCUUCUUUAUCUAUUUUUCGGCCCACGCGUCAGUCAUGUCUGUCAAUCUCACUAACUUUUUCUUGAAGGUCAUUGGCUUAGGUUCUUUCACAUAUAUCUUAUAAGGUUGUACGUUUUCGACACGAAGCAAAGUAGCAUACUCUUCUAUAGUCGGGGUCAUGUCUUCUUGAUUGAAAGUAAAACAUUGGUAGGCCGGAUCCCAAAAUCUGACCAUGGCUUGGAUCAAUCGUUCGUCUACGUUGACAGUAAUCAAGUUGGCUAUGUCCCCAUAUCUUUCAGUGAAGAUACCCCUAAUGUCCAAGUCCCACUGAUUCCAAACCCGAACCAAAUCUUCAAGGUUAUUCUGGAGAACAUUCACAGUUACGUGCUCGGGCAAAUUGGCAAUACAUCCCUCCACUAGACUAUCCCCUCUUUCUUUCUGAUUCUUUAGGGACCAGUCUCGAGCCGCGGCAUUCCUCUCGGUUGUUUGUAUAAUUGAAUCUUCCAUUAGAAACCCAUUUUUUGGCAACUGAUCUCUAGUCAACACCUUUCUAAUAUAAUGCCUAUAAUGCAUGAUGGAAAAAAAAUAAGGCAAAGACAAACAACCUUGAUUAGUAAUUAAGUAUAGGCAGAAAAACAUGGAAAAUUUAACAAAUCGAACUACCCAAAUCUAAUUUAUUAAACAGACCUAGUCCCAUUGUAUAGAAAGUGAAGAUACAAAAGAUAGGAGGCGUUCCUCCCUUGCACUUAUUUUGGUGACUACUAAACGGACGGAGGUUUGGCAUGGCUCUAGUUAAAUAGCUCGUACAGUUCACUAUAUGCGGUUUUGGUUCUAGAUAGGUACUCGAAUUGUCCGUACUGUCAUCUGCUAAGAUUAGUACGACGCUUCGGUCAUAACCCAUCACAAGCUCACGAGUUUAAUUCAAGGGGUUACAUUUACUUAUGCCUAUGCGGAGGGACAAGUUAACUCACGAAAGCAUAAGUCAUAUGUAACCCGAAAGUAUUCACUAGCUUGUACGGAGGGACGAGUUAACUCACGAAGGCGUAGCGUUUACUUUCACUUAAACGGACGAGGCCUGGGUAGAGAGCUCAUGUUAUGCAAAAUGCAAGUGCACGGUGUGUGGGAUAAACUCACAAACCUUUACGUUUUAUUUAAAAAACUAGACCAAAACUAAAACCAUAAAAAUUUAAAGAUGAAUAACAAUCGGAUAAAACAAGUUGGGAGAAUAUAUACAACACUUCAAAAAACCAAUUUUGGGAUCACGACUAAAUAUUAAUUCGAACAAGGAAUUUUGAAAAUUUUGAUAACACGCGUUUAAGUGACUCGACUCUCAAAAACUGACAUCCCCAGUGGAGUAGCCAGCUAUAGCGACGUAAAAAUUUCUUCUUUUGGUCACUAAUUGAGGCGAUUUAUUGGAAAUUUAAAAACCGACUUUCUAUUUUAUUAAAAAAGAGAGUCGCCACUGAUCCUUUUUCCUAGGUGUGAUCGGACACCUAAUAAAUCCACUUUUUCAAAAGAAAAUUUAUUUUUUAAACAAAAAGAAGGCCGAGUUUAGGUCUACGUUUAAAGCCAGAGAAAAAAUAGGGUUCGGGAGUCGGUUACGCACGAGGAAGGUAUUAGCACCCUCGCGAUGUCCAAAAUUAGUAUCUUAUUAAACUUGUGUUGUCUUGAUUUUCAAAAGUACAAAUUCAAUCUGACAUUUACUCGUGAUCCAAUUGAAAAAUGAGAAUUUUUAGUUUUCGAUUUUUUAGAAAGGGUGUCCCGUUUUUAACACGAGCCAAUGAAUUUCACCCAACAUAGCGAUGAAAUUGAUGGCUUAAUGUUAAAUCGGUACAUUGCUUUAUUUUUAAAAUUAAUUAAAACAUGAGAAAAAAAUAUUCCUAAAGUGAGAAAUUAAAAAUAGAUAAACGAUACAAAAAAAAAGAUAUCAUUAAUGAAAAAUAUUAACAUGGAAUACUAGAAUAUUAGAAUAACAAUAAUAACGAUAUUUACAAAAAAAAAACAAAUCAUGUACUAAUAAUAAAAUAGGAAAAAAUGAUAUAUUUGGUAAUAAUAAUAUAAAAUAAAAAUAUGUACAUAAAAAAUACAUAUAUAUAUAUGCAUAUAAUAAAUAUAUGUAAUAAUAAUAUCUACAAUAAAAGAAAAUAUUAGGAAACAUACAUAAAAAUAUAUACAUAAAAUUUUUUUUACAACAAUAAUAUAAAAUAAUGAUAUGUACAAAAUAUAUAUAUGUACAUAAUAUAGUUAUAAAAAUAUAUAUAUUAAAUUCGGAAUAGGUAAAUAAUAAUAAUAAGGGAAAGAAUAUACCGAAGCCCCAAUGUUAUGGAUUACUGAAAUUAAUCUCUUUUCUUCUCGGACUGUUGAAAUGGGCCUUUGUUGGUGAUCUUCACCGGAUCAAAUUGCCGCAAAUAGAGUCAGGUUGACCCGACCAUUUUAAAAUUUAAUAUUUUUUAUUAUUGUAAUUUUUUUAGACCAAUUUUUGUUUAGCCCAAUUACAAAUAAAAUCUACAUAAAAGAUACAAAAUCCAAAUUACUUCAACCCAACACAAACCAACCUCAGCCCACUAACUUAAUAAUCCAACACAACCAACCCAACCCACUAACUUAACAUAUCACCCAACCCACUAAUUAACCCAAACUAAAUUUAACCCAUCAAACCUUACAUAAACAAACCCAUUAACUAAAAUAUUUCUUUUUUUUUAAUACUAACCCCCCCAAAAAAAAACAAACAAGUUCCAGCAGCAAACAAAGAAAAUCCAAACUUCAAGCUGCCUAUUCUCCCUCUCCUUCCACCGUGCGUGUCACCAGCAGCCACCGUAUGUACCACAUGAAAUCAGGCUACGGGUAGUUGAGGUUUGGGUUUUGGAGUGGCUGAUAAUCGAUUGGCUCGGGUAUUUAGAGUGGGUUUCGGUUUGGGAGCUUGGUUGUGGUGUUAAUGGUGGUUAGUCUUUGGUUGCUUGGUUGCUUGCCAGAUAUUGGAGUUUUUUCUUGCUUAGAUUGCUGAAUGUUCCUUUUUUGUUGUUUUUUUUUUUGCUGGAAAAUUUUUUUGCUGAAUUUUUUUUUUUGCUCUUUUUUCUCAAAUGGGAGAAUCCUCCUCUUUUUUGUGUGGUUUUUUUUUUAUUUCUCCCAUUUUGCUUGUUUUUAUGCUAUUUGCAGGUAGUGGGUGAAGAAGGAGCAGCCACCCAUGUUUGUGGCCUGAAAAUCUGGGAAGUGGGUACCCUAAAUCACGUAAUCUGUCUGAAGGACCAAAUCACAAAUGCAGCAAAACUUCUGGGGCUAAAUGUAUUUUUAGAAAAUUUAAGGUUAAAAUGCAAUUUAAGGAAAGUUUAGGGGUCUAAGUAAAAUUUAAAGAAAGUUUAAGGGUCAAAAUGAAAUUUAGGAAAAGUUUAGGGGUCAAAAUGCAAUUUUUAUUUUUUGAAAAUUUUUUAUUUUUAUUUUUUAAAAAUUUUGAAAAUUAAACAACAAACUCUAGUCGAACAAAAAUUUAGUGUUUACAAACAUCAGUAAGUAUUUUAUGGUAACUACUAAAUUAAUCUUUUGUAAUCUAAUAUAUAGAUUAAGAGAGGAAAUGUUGUCCAAAGUUUGAGUCCAUAACUUAUUUGAACUCAAGACUCAGAGAUAGUGCUAAGGGACAAGGAAUUGCCCCCUCCACCACCUUCCCCACUUAAAUCUAACUUUUAUAUUUCUUAUUCUAUUCACAUAGGCAAUGCACGUAAAGUUUUGAAUAAAUACCUUGAAAGGGUCUCCAACCAUAAAGACAAAGGAAGAAAGAGAUAAAUUAGACAACCUCAACCAUUGGCCGUCCUUGACCUAAAUUUCCAGCCCUGAAAUUUUAUCCUCGCAAAUGAGUGUGCUGAUUGGUUUAUCUGUACGAGGAAAGAGUCCACUCUCAAACUUCCCCGAUGGAGGCGCCAUGUAUUUCACCAUCCGCAUCAGCGUUUAGUAGCUCAUCUUCAAUGACUCCUCCCCUAACCCAUAACUAUCAAUUAUCAUUAACCAGUUUAACUUGUUUAGCUCUUCCAUUUGUGUCGCCAGGGUGUAUACAAAUGUCACUAGAAUAAAAUAUCAAAAUAUCACUCAACUCCAACCAAAAAUGAGAUACCAAAUCUACCCAACCUGCAGAAUUAAAUAUGUAAAACAAGUUUUCUUACCAAAAGUGUGGGUAACCAUCAGGCCACAUAAGUUGAGCAAAGCUUUUAACAGAAUCAUAGUUGGAGGCAUCUCCAACUCCGAAGCCUUCAUACAAUAAAGAAAUCUGAGGGCAUGAUCCAACCCAACCAUGGAAAGGCAUGGGACUAACAUUCUUCUGUUUCCUCUCUACUGGGACCUCAACCAGUUCUUUAAUCAACCUAAAAACCUCUUCUCGAACUUUCGUUGAUAUCUUUUCGUAUACCACCUCAAAAGAGCCUCACGAACCCUCUUGCACACACGAUUCCACCCAUCAGUACCUCGCUUCAAAUCCGAUGAACGGAACUCAAUGACUGGGUACUCAAUUUCAGCAUUGACACCCAUGUUCUAGAAUUUUUUGUUAUGCUCUAUGGAAAUGUUCCCUUAAACUGAAUCAGCUUGUAAAUUAACUUUGUUUCUCUCUAGGUAGGGAAUUACGUCUAUUUAUAGGCUUAGGUAGAAAUCCACUGGCAGCUCUUUCCUAUACCCCUUCCCAUGCUCCGCCUGUUCACUUUUCAUUUAAGAAGCUUGUAAUGUUAUUAAAUUAAAAGGGAAAAAAUAUUUAUUUUUUAAGAAAAUGAAGUGAACAAAAUAAUUUUUAUUGUUUUUAGUGAAAAAUAAGUAUUUUAAUAAUAAAUAAAUAAAAUAUUUUUUACUGGUAAGAUUACAUGGAGCUUUUGAUAAGAAUGACAAUAAAUAAUUAGUAUCGGCUCCAACAGAGUUGAUUCACACAAACUCGUAUUUAAAAUUUAAUUAUAAAAUUAUAUAAAUGUUAAUAUUAGAUUAUUUAUUACUUUGUCAUUUUUAACAGUAAAUCGAUUCAUUUGAAUCAAGUGAGCCGUACUUGAAUUUUUUUUUAAAUUUUGUUGUUGUCGACCUAACUUGACCCUUGAAUACUUUUAAUUUUAUAGUAACACGUCAAAAUGUUAUAUUCUAAGUCACUUUGCCUACUUGUUAUAUUUAUUAUGCAAUUUAUAUAUACAAAAAUAAAUAUAAAAACUUAAUAUAUUAAAAAAGUUAAUUGUUUGGUCUAAUAUUUUAGAUCUAAUUGAAAAAUCAAUUUAUCAAAACUCAAGUAUGGAACAAUCUUCAACUAUUUCUAUUUUUAUGUUGUAUAAAUUUAAAAUAUUAUGAUCAAAUAAAUUAAAUUGUUUUUAAUUUAUUAUUACAAUUUUUAUUCUCUUUUUAAUUUUAAUUUUGAAAAAUGAAUUAAGAAAAAACACUUUUUAUAAAGGAAAGACAACUUAUCCUUAUUUUAUUAAGGGGCACAGAAGGGCAAGGGGUUUUCAUCCCGGAAUUACGUCUAUUUAUAGGGUAGAAAUGCCACCUUUUCCCUUUUCACUUAAGAAAGGUGCAAUGUCAUUAAAGGGAAAAAAAAUAUUUUAUAAAAUGAAGAGAACAAAAGAAAAUUUUAUUGUUUUUAGUGGAAAAAAAAGUAUUUUUAAUAACAGAUAAAUUUUUUUAUUGGUAAAAUUACCUUUAAGCUUUCGGUAAGAAUGACAAUGUAUAGUGCAUAUUUUCAAAUGCUUAACUUGUUUUUUUUUUUUUUUGAAUUUAGAUAUUACGGAUUGAAAUUAUAUUCAAAUUUAAAUAUUUUAAUUAUUAUAUGGAACAGAUCCGAAGUGGAUGCAAAUUUUAACCCUCGAAUAUCCAUUAUUAAAAUAUACUUUUGUGAAUAAUUUAUUUGGAUAAGAUAUCCACCAUCUAAAUCCUCAUUUUUAUGGAUGUUCAUAUUCAGAUAUCAAACUCCAUUAUCCAUUUUACCUUUUUACUUAUAAAAUGCGUAUAUAACUGAUUUUAAUAUUCGGUGGAUAUUUUAAUGAAAUUUUAUUCGAAUAGAAAUACUCAGAUUUAAAGUGGAUAAUAAAUAUUUUAGAUUUUAAAGCAUAUAUUAAAAUAAAAAUAAAUAAUGUAUGUUUUUUUCUAAUUUUUUGUAAAAUUUAUUUUCUAAUCUGUAAAUCUACUUUAAAAUCCGAAUAAUUUAUUAUCCAUAUUAAAUAUGUGUAUUUCUAUCCAAAACUAAAUUUAUUAAAUCACCCAUCAAAUAUCCAAAUCAGCUAAUUAAUAUAUGCAUUUAGUAAGUAAAAUUAAAAUAAAAAAAAGUUUAAAAUCACAAGUCAUGUUCCAACCCAAUUUUUCUAUUUGUCAUUUUAAUUUAUAUUAUAUAAGACAUGAAGUAUUCACUUAAACGUAGUGAACCCAACUUAAUUUUUUUUUUAAAAUCAAGUUAUUUUCGAUCCAAUUUGACUCCUCUUAUUUUUUUAGUGAUAAAAAAGAGAGUACUUAAACUAAUUACAAAAUCUAAAUAUUCCCCUAAUGGGGAGGCUUCAUAUAUAAGCAUAAAUAAUAAGAUUUGUGAUGAACUAGUUUAACCAAUCUAUUAGCAUCCUGAUUGUCUUUCCUGGGGAUAUGUCGAACGUGUCAUUGCUCAAAUCGUAUCAGCAACUGAUAGAUUUUCCUGAUCAAGAUAGAAUUAGAGUUGUUUCUUGUCCUCUCCUGAAUAGCUUUUACUACCUCAAGAUUAUCAGUCUUAAUUAAAACGCUAUCAAAGUCACGAUCACUUAAAAGGGGUCAAUGUAGUGACCCGAUAGUCACGGGUAAUUGAAAAGUGUAUUUCGGGUCUUCGUUUUAUAAAACAGUUUGUAAAUAUUUAUUAAAAAUAUUUAAGAAGUUAGUUGUGUUUAGUUGUGUGAUUAACUAGGUUUUGGUUAGGUAAAUUAGCUUGAGUUAAGGGUAAUUAGGUAUAAGGAUUAAAUUGAAUAAAGUGUGAAAGUUUAAUUAUAGAUUAAAGAGUAAAAGAACUAAAUAAGCAAUUAAACCUUAAUUGACAAGUGGAUGAUGUAGAUAAAAACAUUUUUUAAAAUAAAAUUCAUAAAUUAAAUUAAAUUAUAUAUAUUUACUUAUUAUAUUGCCAAAUUUGAAAAUUAAGAUAUUGAAAACAAAAUUUAAAAUAUUGCAUUAUUAUUGUUAUAGGUCAAUUUAGCCCACUUACAUUCAUCAGACCUAAUACCCACUAACCUAAACCCACCAGACCCAUAUACCACUAAACCCAUCAGCUCACCACCCCGAAUAACCUAAUCCCUAAAACCCAUUUACAACCCGAGCCCACCUAGAAUAAACCCAAUAACUGAGAAGCCCAAACCCAUACAUCAACAAACCCUAAUCCUAACCCGAACACCUCAGCAGCCACCUACCCCCAUCGACAAAGUCACCUCAGCGCCGCAACACCCAUGCCAUGGCCACCAACUCUCCCCACUUACCCUCUGUCACCGGACUGCUCCACCUGCAUAGCAAAUGACACACGCAACAGCAACCAAAGGGGAAACAAAUAGUAUAACGAGUGGGCUAUAAAGUCGAAUGGGAAACGAAUGUAAAGGGGAGGAUUUUGGAAUAAAUGCAAGAUAAAUGCAAUUUAUAUACAAAUAGUGAUCUGAAGAAAAGUAUAAUACAAGAACAACAUCAAAACAGAUAUCCCAAAAAAAAGCGAAAAUCAAAAACAAAAAAAAAAUCAAAGGUAAUCUGUUAUCUUAUUUUUUGAAUCGGUCUCAUUUAUUUUUUUGUCUUUUUUUUUUCCUACUUUUACUCAUGCAUGUACAUAUAUUAUAAUAACAAUAAAAAUAAGAUUUAAAAACAAAAAAAAUCUUACCUUUGCGAUUUCUUGCCACCGUGUACGGUGGCUGGAGGCGACGGAGAUCUAGUGGCGAUGGUGGCCCUCCGGGCUGGAUUCUGGACUUAGUCCAGAGAAAAAAUGAGCCCCCCCUCUCUUUUUUUUCCCAAACGAGCAGAAAUGAAAAAUUUUCAAAAUUUUUUAACUUAUAUAGGGGUCUGGAACGGCGUCGUUUUAGGCCUUGCAUUUAAGCACUGAAACGGCGUCGUUUCACCAUGCCCGACCCGUUCGACCCGAACCCGCUUUAGGAUCCACGUGUUUUUGCGAAAGGGGUUAAUUGCGCUUCAAGCCCUUCCGCUUUUUUCUGUUCUUUUCAAUCAGGUUUUAGUUUUUUUCAAAUUGGCCCUGAAAUUUACGUUUGUUUUUAAAUCGAUCCUCCAUGCUGCGCAACGUUUUAAAAGGUAAGGGAAAUUGCUGUUUGGGCCCCUCAAUGUUUAACGCGUGUUCGAAUGAGUCCCCCUCUUCUGUUUUUAUUCUAAAUUCGCCCCACAAAUUUCGAUUUUAAUUCCAUUUCGUCCUUUUUCUUACCUUUUCUCAUUUUAAUGUUAUUGUAUUUAUUACUAUUUAUAUUAUUAUUAUCACUGUUAUUAUUAAUAUAGGCUUUGUUAUUUGUGUAUAUAUCUUUAAUAUGUAUAUGUAUGUAUGUAUAUAGUAUUAUUAAUUUUUGCUUUAACGUUAUUACUAUUUUCUUAUCAUUAUUAUAUUACUAUUAUUAUUAUAUUAUAUUUAGUAUUAUCGUUAAUAUUAUAUUUCUAUUAUUAUAUUUAUUAUUAUCUAUUACUUUAUUUUUAUUUUAAUAUUAUUACAUUAUAUUCACCUUUUAUAUUUUUAUAUUAUUACUAUUACUUAUCUUUACUUAUAUAUAGAUACGUAUUUUUAUGUACAUAUAGCUUUUAUAUAGUUUUUUUUAUUACUUUGUUUUUGAUUUUACUUUGUUAUAUUUGCUUUUCGUAUUUUAUUAUUCUGCUAGCAUUAUUAUUUUAUUAUUACCGCUAUUAAUUCAUGUACACACGUGUAUAUACAUCAUGUACAUACUCUUAGUAUUAUUACUAUGUAUUUGAUUUUUAUAUAUAUACAUGUAUGUAACUGUAUGUACUCAUAGUUGUUUUAAUAUUAUUCUUAUUCCUAAUAUAUAUUACAUAUGCAUGUUUAAAUACCAUAUUAUAUACAUAUAUUUUAUAUCUAUUCUUAUAUAUUAUUAUUUUUGUUAUUAUACAUAUUAUUUUCACUAUUAUCACUUAUUAUUUUAUUUUAAUAUUAUUAUAUAUAUAUUCUUCAUAUAUGUUAUGUACAUACUUUUUUUCAAUAUCUAUUUUAUAUAUAUAUGUAUAUAUUAUAUAUAUAUUUUAACAUUACUAGUUAUAUAUUUUUACUAUCUUAUGUAUAUACUUCAAACACUAUAUAUAGUAUAUUUCUAACACUAUUACUAUUUAUAUAUAUAUACACAUAUAUACUCUUAAUUAUCUUUAUAUGUAUAUUCAUUGUGUUCUCGUAUUUGAUACUAUUGUUACAUUUAAUAUCGCGUGCAUUGUCAUUGUUUUUAAUAUUAUUGUUGUAUGUAUUAUGUGCCUUGAUGUAUUUCCAACUAUUAUCUUUUGUUUCCUGCUCAUUUUUAUAUAUUACCCCGUUGUUCAUUAUUUUAAAAUAUUUAUUCGUGUUUUUAUUUAUUUCAAUAAGCAAGGCAACGUACCGAUUUAAACACUAUGUCAUCGAUUUCAUCGCUAUGUUGGGUGAAUAUCAAUCGACUCGUGUUAAAAUGGUAUAUCCUUCUCAAAAGAAAACGAAACUUGAAAUUUCUCGUGUUUUGAUCAGAUCACGAUUCAAUGUUACUUUGAACUUGCAAUUUUGAAAAUUAAGACAACACUUGUUUAUAAGAUACCAAUUUUGGGAGUCGCGAGGGUGCUAAUACCUUCCUCGCGCGUAACCGAAUCCCGAACCCUAAUUUUUCUCUGGACUUUCACGUAGACCUAAACUUGGCCUUCUUGUUGUUUUAAAAAUAAAUUUAUUAGGUGUCCGAUCACACCUAUAAAAAGGAUCGGUGGCGACUCCCUUUGUUAAUAAAAUUGAAAGUUGGUUUUCAAAUGUUUAAUAAAUCGCCACAAUUAGCGAUCAAGCGAAACUAAAAUUUUUAUGUCGCUACAGCUGGCGACUCCACUGGGGAGAUAUUUUUGAGAGUCGAGUCGAAUUAAACGAGUGUUGUCAAAAUUUUCAAAAUUUCUUGUUCAAAUUAAUAUUUAAUCGUGAUCCUAAAAUCGUGUUUUUGAGAAAUCAUGCAUUUGCAUCGUGUUUUGUCUGGUUGUUUUAAAGCUUUAAAUUCAUAUGGUUUUAGUUUUUGUUUAGUUUUUAAAUAAAACGUAAAGGUUUGUGAGUUUCUCCCCACACACCGUGCACGUGCAUUCUUGCAUAACAUGAGCUCUGUACCCGGGCUCCAUCCGUUUAAGUGAAAGUAAACGCUAUGCCUUCGUGAGUUAACUCGUCCCUCCGCACAGGCUAGUGAAUACUUUCGGGUUACAUAUGACUUAUGCUUUCGUGAGUUAACUUGUCCCUCCGUAUAGGCAUAAGUAAAUGUAAUCCCUCGAAUUGAACUCGUGAGCCUGUGAUGGGCUACGAACGAGGCUUCGUACUAAUCUUAGUAGAUGACAGUACGGACAAUUCGAGUAUUUAUCUAGAACCGAAACCGCAUAUAAUGAACCAUACGAGCCACCUAGUUAGAGCCAUGCCGAACCUCCGUCCGUUAAUAGUCACCGAAAUAAGUACAUAGGAGAAACGCCUUUUCCCUUUUAUUUCUUUGACACUUACACUUUCUAUUUUGAUUUUCCGUAAUUCAUGUUUAUUGUACUAAUUAAGAUAUUUUUCUGUGUUCUUAUUUUGCAUCAUGCAUUAUAGGCAUCAUAUUAGGAAGUUGUUGACUAGAGAUUGGUUGCCAAAAAACGGGUUUCUAAUGGAAGAGUCAAUUAUACAAACAACCGAGAAGAAUGCCGUGGUUCGGGACUGGUCUCUAAAAACUCAGAAAGAAAAAGAGGAUAGUCUAGUGGAGGGAUGUAUUGACAAUCUGCCCGAGCACGUAAUCAUGAAUGUUUGCUAGAAUAACCUUGAAGAUUUGGUUCGGGUUUGGAAUCAGUGGGAUUCGGACACUAGGGGUAUCUUUACCGAGAGAUAUGGAGACAUAGCCAAUUUGAUUGCUGUCAACAUAGACGAACAAUUGAUCCAAGCCAUGGUCAGAUUUUGGGAUCCGGCUUACCAAUGUUUUACCUUCAAUCUAGAAGAUAUGACUCCAACUAUAGAGGAGUACGUUGCUUUGCUUCGUGUUGAAAAUACGUAAUUCUAUAAAGUAUACGUGAAAGAGCCUAAGCCGAUGACCUUCAAGAAAAAGUUAGUGAGAUUGACAGACAUGACUAACGCAUGGGCUAAAAAACAGAUAAAGAAGAAGAAUGAAACCAUUUGCAUUCCAUGGUCUUCCCUACGAGAAUUGGUUCUGGACCAUCCCGACAUGUUGAAAAGAGUGAAUCUGUUCGCUUUGGCCAUUUACGGUUUGAUCAUCUUCCCGAAAGUCCUUAGACACAUAGAAGUUGCGGUGGUGGAUUUUUUCGAAAAAUUAAAACAAGGAAUCAACCCUGUCCCGACUAUCCUAGCCGAGACCUUCAGAUCCUUAAACAGUUGUAGGAAAAUGGGGAAAGGAUGCAUUAUCGAAUGCGUGGCAGUUACUAAAUGUCUGGAUUUUGAGUCACUUCUGGAAAGUAGAGCGCACACCGUUCCAUAUGUUUUCAAAAACAUUUGCCCCGUUGGAAGCUUAUCUCAAGAAAGAAUGGCCAAAGGAAGUCACUGAACAGCAUUGGGUCUCAGUUUUUCAGAACCUUCGCGCCGAGGAUAUAACGUGGAGAGCACCGUGGAUCCGCCCUUCAAUUCUAUUAUACAAGGUUGGAAAUCAAGAUUGGGUACCACUAUUUGGGUUAUUGGGAGGAGUUGGAUAUGCCCCGCUAUUAGUCUAAAGACAAUUUUCUUCGCGACAAUUCAUACCCGCCACUGGAGGAUUAGCACAGUCCGAGUUCACUUUUGCGGGAGAAGAGUAUAUGAAGAGGGUCCGAGACACUGCAAAGUCUUGGCAAAAAAUUCAUCUGAUGGAAUUGGCUAUAUAUGCUGAUACCCUCACCCAAGAUUACGACAUUUGGAGGAAACAACGGGUGAAUAGUCAGCAAAUCUCGUCAAUGAACUACACCGUCCAAAAUCCUUUCUCGGAGGAAAUGCCGUUUGAGCUAGAAAUGGCAAGACAAGAAUUUGAACGAGAAAAGGCCAAGAUGUCUCAGGACCUUAGUGCUCUUCAAGAGGAAAACUACCAAUUGAAGAUCGACGUUCAGAUUGAAAGAUUCAGAACCGAGAAAGUGAAAAAAGAGCUGAAGUCGUAAGAAAUGACUUAAGAGAUCUUCAUCUGGAAAAUAAGAAGUUAAGAAGCACAAUAAAGAAUAGUGGGCUGAGCAAGUUGUUGGUAGAAUGGAAGGAAGAAAUAAGCAACAUUAAAGGUGGGAUGGAAUUUUGGAAAGAAAAAGCGAAGAAAGAGGAGGAAAGGGCUGCGCGGGCUAUGAUAGAAUUGAGGAAGAAGAACGCCGAAUAUGAAGCUGUGUCUGCCGAGGUAAUGACUAGUCGAUCUAAACAUCAAGAACUAAAAGAGAGGAUACGAGAGUUAGAAGAUAUGCUGCAAGAUCGUCAACAAUAGCUAGAUACUCUCUUGAAGGCUUUGGAAGAAAAAGAUAGUCAGUAUGAUAGAGACGUUCGUGCUUACGAAGAGGGCCUCCAAGAAAAAGAAAUGCAACUUAGCUAUUUGAUCAAUGAUGUUCGUGGGGUAGCCAUGCAUGUGGUACAAUUAUCAGAAGAAGCUGAAAUUCUCAUUUGCCAAUUCCCUCCAAGUCGAAGAUCAACUAUAUCAGAGUUCUUAGCACGAGUAAAGAAAUACGACGAUAUAGCUAGGAAGUUUGUGUAAUGGUUGAAUCGAAAAUGGAAAAAUGUUUUGUAAUGAACUCUUUUGAUGAAUGAAAUGCCUAAAUAGGGGCUAUCUUGAAAUCAACACCCAUUCCUUGCAUAUCUUUCAUGAUUGACAUUCAUUUAUGCACUCAUUCAUUCAUUGCAUAUAUCUAUCCCAUAAUCAUUCGCUAAGGUUAGAAUCAUAUAAUUUGCAGUCACAGCACUUCAAAUCUGGAAUCACGCCAUUCGUAUAGAACGCGUCGACAAGCUAGGGCAAUGGAGGCUGAAUUCAAUGAAAGAAUUGAAAGGAUGGAAAGAGUUCAGAGGGAAUUACAAGAGCAGUUGGCCAAGUCACAGCAAGAGACAAGAGACUUAAUGGUGAGGUCUCGAGAAGAAUCACUUGAACAAAGAGACCAAAUGGCCAAGAUGAUGGAAAUGAUGUCAGCUUUAGUUAAAGAAAAGGGACCCAUGCAGAGCUCUGACGUUGAGGAACCUCGGUCAAGAGUUAAUCACAGUCAAGAUCUGCUCUGUCCCCCAGGAUUCACUCCGCCACAUGCCCACGCAACACAAAGAGGGUACACCCAAGGAGAACCCACAGACUUGGAGCAACGGGCGGUGCCACUUGCUCACAUAGGGCAAGGAAUAUUCGUAUCAAACCCAGGAGCUAGUCCUGCUGAUCCACUAGUUCCAGAUUUGGACGAUCCAGUAGAGAUACCUAGGUUGAAAAUGAAUGAUCAUGAUGUUCAGGACAAGUAUAGGAGCUUGGAAGAAAGGCUCAAGGCGAUAGAAGGUACUGAAGCCUUCUCUGCAUUGAGCGCCAAAGAACUCAGCUUGGUGCCCGAUCUGGUUCUGCCUACGAAGUUCAAGGUGCCCGAUUUUGAAAAGUACGAUGGGACAAUAUGUCCAAAAGUGCAUCUUGUCAUGUUUUACCGGAAAAUGACUAGUUACGUGAAUGAAGACAAGCUACUCAUACAUUGUUUUCAGGAUAGUCUAGUAGGAUCGACUUUUUGGUGGUACAACCAGCUUAGUAGGGAAAAGAUCCGAUCUUGGAAGGACUUGGCGUCAGCCUUCUGUGAGCGGUACAAGCAUGUAUCGAAUAUGGUGCCAGAUCGGAUGACUUUGCAAAUGAUGGAGAAAAAGCCAUUGGAAACUUUCAGACAGUAUGCGCAGAGAUGGAGGGACGUCUCAGCCCAAGUGGAACCCCCACUAACAAAAACGGAGAUAACUGUUCUCUUUAUCAACACUUUAAAGGCACCGUUUUAUGACAAACUAGUGGGAAGUGCCACGAAAGAUUUUGCGAAUAUUGUAAUAUCCGGUGAACUUAUACAGAAUGCCGUCAAGAGCGGUAGAAUGGAAGGUCAAGAAAGUUCAAGAAUGGUAGCGCCCAUGAAGAAGAAAGAACCAGAAGCCCAUAUGGUGGGAGUGGGAAGCUAUUAUACCCCUAAUCCAUAUCCAAACCAAUACCGACCUCGAAAUUAUCAUCCUUCGAAUUUCUAUUAUCCUCCUCAGACUCCUUACUACCAAGCACCGCCUCCUUCCUACCUCGUAUACACCAUGAACAACAAAAGGCCCGUCACCACAUUCCCACAAAACACUCUACCCGCUCAAAGCCAACCCAAAAAUGAACCAAGACCAACAAGGCCCAAUCCCGAGAGACCGCAAUUCACCCCUAUUCCUGUGUCGUAUGGGGAACUGUACCCAAAACUCCUAGAGAAGCAAUUAAUAUCUCCCCAUUAUAUGGCGCCCCUUAAACCUCCAUACCCGAAAUGGUACGAUCCAAAUGCUAGUUGUGCAUACCAUGCCGGGAACUAGGGGCAUUCUACGGAGAACUGCCUGGCCUUCAAAAGAAGAGUUCAAGAACUCAUCGAUGCGCGUAUUCUACGAUUUGAUGGCAUUGACAGUACAUCCGGGAGCCCGUUCCCAAAUCACCCCGAAAGGAAUGUGAUCGCAGUGAGAGAGGAGGACAAACAUCAAAGUAGAAGAUGGGUUUCUGAAAUAAGAACACCUCUGUAGAAAAUCUGGGAGGUACUAGUUGAAAAAGGGUUGCUCUGUCAUCUUAACAGAGUAUCCGAAGGAAGGAAUACAAAAGAUCAAAGUUUUUGCGAAUUCUAUGGUAUUAAGGGGCACGACAUUCGAUCCUGCAAAGAGUUUAGGAGAUUACUGCAAAAUAUGAUGGACAAUAAGGAGAUUGGGAUUUUUUAUAAAGGCGAAAAGGCCGAUAGAGGAGAAAUGUGCGCCUCUGACCAUCAAUCGUAAGGUUUUCCGUAUAGCGCCGACCGACCGUUAAUAAUUUAUUAUGACGCGAAGAAGGAGCCGGUGAAACCAAAAGUAAUAAUCGAGGUACCAUCUCCUUUCCCCUACAAGGACAAUAAAACAGUAUCAUGGAAAUAUGACGUCAAUAUCGUCACACCUGAAGAUGAAAAACCCAAGGCCAUGACUGGAAGUGUUGGGGAAGUAGGUCAUUUCACUCGUAAUGGAAGAUGUUAUUCCAAAGAGAUUGAGCCGGCAAAGAAGAAUAGUGACUUGAAACAAAAAAAAAAGUGCCAAUGCGUGUGACCGAAGAUGAGCAUGAAACUGUGCCUGAGCAAGAAGCUAAAAAGCCUGUAGACGAGGAGGAAGCACAGGAAUUCUUAAAAUUUAUCAAGCACAGUGAGUACAACAUGGUGGAACAAUUGAGUAAGCAACCAGCACGAAUUUCGGUAUUAUCUCUGCUGUUAAAUUCAGACCUGCACCGGAACGCCUUGUUAAAGGUGUUGAAUCAAGCUUACGUGGCAAACAAUAUAUCCGUUGAAAAACUGGAUAGGUGGGUGAACAACUUGAAUGCGGAUAAUUUCAUUUCUUUUAGUGAUGAUGAAAUACCACCCAAUGGUAGAGGUUCAGUGAAAGCACUGCAUAUCACAACCCGUGCAAGGGUUAUAUAAUACCGAACGUACUUAUCGACAAUGGAUCGGCACUCAACGUCAUGCCUUUGGCCACACUUUCCAGGAUUCCGAUGGAUUUGUCCUAUUUAAGGCCCUGCCAUUCUACAGUACGGGCAUUUGAUGGAACAAGAUGAGAAGUCAUGGGAAAAAUUGAGAUCCCUUUAGAAGUGGGUCCCUACAUAUACGAUGUUGAAUUUCAAGUCAUGGACAUUACACCAUCAUACAAUUGUCUCUUGGGAAGACCUUGGAUCCAUUCUGCUGGAGCAGUCCCAUCAUCCCUCCAUCAAAAGGUAAAAUUUAUCAUGGAUGGCUGUUUGGUUACUGUCGAGGGAGAAGAAGACAUUGUAGCAUCUAUUUCUGUCGAUGCACCAUACAUUGAAGUGAGUAAAGACGCUAUGGAAUGUAUCUUCCGAUCUCUUGAAUUUAUCAAUGCCACAUUCGUCGCUGAGGGAAACAGAAUUCCCGAGCCAAAACUGUCGAGAAAUACUAGGAUGGGUGUCAAGUUAACUGUAGGAAAGAGAGCCCGAGCAAGGAAAUGUUUGGGAAGGUACCUGCAAGGAAUAGUUAGGGCUCUAAAGCCAGUGCACCACAAGGCCCGAUACGGUUUGGGGUUCCAGCCGGAUAUGCGUCAAAGAAGAAAACAGUGGAAGAAGGAUUAGGAGAGAAGGAUUGCGAGAACUUUGGGCCGAGAAGUAGAAUGAGAGCCCAUAACGUACCCUCCUUUGUCAAAAACAUUUACAUCUGCUGGGAUGAUAUACCCCAGACAGGAUAAUAUACAAAACACGCUGUUAUUAAUUGAAAUGGUUUUUCAGAAUGUCAGUAUAAAUGUCAUUGACAAAGGAAGUGGGGCAAUUAAAGAUGUUUCAACGAUAGCCCUUGUCCUCCUGGUUUCAUGUUGAACAAUUGGACUGCCGAGGACCUUCUUGUAGUUUAUAAGUCUUCAGAGUAAUGCUCAAACAUUAACCCUCUAUUGUGUCCUUAGAUAUAAUAGAAUUCUUUUGUAAGAGUUUGCAUUCGCUCUUUAUCAUUUAAAUGAAUAUCAAUGAAGAUGCAUUUUGUCACGAUCUUUCGCAUUAUCACUAACUUCAUAAUCAUCUUCUCAUUUCAUAGCCUAUCUGUACAUUUGCCUCAUACCAUGCCAUAACAUUUCAUUUGUUGGUUCCAAUACUUGGAUACCCCUCUAUAGUUUCCUUUUCCAUUCAACUUUCAGGUGCUCGAAUAUCAACAGCACGAACAAACCCGUUACGAGUCCUGAAAUCGAUUUUGAGAAGGCUAUUUGUUUAGGAGAAUUUGAAGUCGAAGAAAAUGCUGAAGACUAUGUCUCGUCUCCUGACUUGCUAAGAUUGGUGGAGUAAGAGGAUAAACAGAUUUUGCCUCAUCAAAAAUCUGUUGGAACAAUAAAUUUGGGAACUGAAGAAAAGAAGCAAGAAGUGAAGAUUGGCACCUCUAUUUCAGAGGAUACCAGGCAUAAUUUGAUUGCUUUGCUCCGCGAGUACAAAGAUGUAUUCGCAUGGUCACAUCAAGACAUGCCAGGAUUGGAUGAAGAUGUAGUAGUCCAUAAACUCCCAUUAAAGCCAGAAUGCAAACUUAUUCAACAAGAGCUAAGACGGAUGAGACCUGAGAUGUUGUUGAAAAUAAAAGAGGAAGUCAAGAAGCAAUUCGAUGCUGGCUUCCUACAAGCCUUCAAAUAUCCAGAGUGGGUAGCUAACAUAGUCCCAGUACCAAAGAAAGAUGGCAAAGUACGAAUGUGCAUGGACUAUUGUGACCUGAAUCGAGCAAGUCCUAAAGAUAAUUUUCCUUUGCCACACAUUGACACGUUAGUGGAUAACACAGCAAAACAUUCAUUGUUUUCUUUCAUGGAUGGAUUCUCGGGGUAUAAUCAGAUCAAGAUGGCCCCUGAGGAUAUGGAGAAAACUACCUUCGUAACAAUGUGGGGAACAUUCUGCUACAAGGUGAUGCCAUUUGGGUUAAAGAAUGAUGGGGCAACAUAUCAGAGGGCUAUGGUGACGUUAUUCCAUGACAUGAUGCAUAAAGAAAUAGAGGUCUAUGUCGACGAUAUGAUUGCUAAAUCCCGAGGGGAAGAAGAGCAUGUAGUGAACCUGAAGAAGUUGUUCGACAGACUGAGAAAAUUCUAGCUAAAGCUCAAUCUGGCCAAAUGUACGUUUGGGGCUACCUCAGGAAAAUUGCUUGGAUUCAUUGUCAGCGAGAGAGGCAUUGAAGUUGAUCCAGAUAAAAUAAAAGCCAUUCAAGAUUGAAUGGUUGUAUUGACUAGAAUUGAAUGGUUGUCCUACCAGAUUGAUGCAUCGUCAGUAUAUAAGUAAAUAAUAAUAUGACAUAUUAUUAUAAAUUAAACAAAAAUUAUGGAGGGUUUAAAAAUAGAUGCUAAUAAUUUUAUUUAAAUAUAAUUAAAUAUUAAUAGUAACUAUUAUAAUUAAAUAUUAAUAACUUCUGAAUUUAGUAUAUUCGAUAUAAGGGUUUAGGGUUUAAGGUAUUAGAUUUAGGAUUUAAAGUUUUAACAUUUAUUUAUAAUUAAUCAUUAUUUGAUGAAAUUUAGAUAAAGUUAUUAGAAUUUAUUUAUAAGUCCUCCACUAUUUUUUUCUGUUUCAUUUAAUUAUGACGUGUCAUGUUCUUAUUUAACGAUGUUGCAUGGGACUUAUGCAUGGACAAUGCAUAAAAUAUUCUUCCAUUUUAAAAACAGAUAAACUGAAUUAGUUUUUAUAUUAAAAUAAAUAUAAUUGUUUGUGUAUGUAAUAAGUAAUCAUAUUAGAAUUGCAAUAUUAGUAAACGUAAAAUCAAAAGUGCUAUUAUAUUAGAAUUGCAUCAAAUCAAAUUUUUUAUAUUUAUUGCAUAUUGAAUCAAAAUUUAUGUGUAAUUCUAUAAUUAUUUGUCUAUUUAAUUAUUUGUUGUUUUCAUAUUGCGGAAUUUGAAUAUUAAGAUGUUGAAAAUAAAAAUUCAAAUAUUAUAUUAUUAUUAGGCUUAAUAUAACAUUUGGUAUAUGAACUUGACACUUUUUCCUAAUUAAGUGCAUUGACUUUUUUUGGGGUCCAAUUUGGCACUUGAACUUGACACUUUUUCCUUAUUUGGUACACGGACUUGACACGUUUCUUCAUUUGGUACUAAAUCUUUCUUGGGUCUAAUUUGAUACCUGAACUUGAUUCUUUUUUCCUAAUUUGGCACCUAAUCAUAACGUUAUACAAAUUACUCUAAUAUACAAACAAUGUUAUUUUUUUAUAAGACAACAAAAAUUAUCAAUGUAUGAUUGACAUGUGGCAAAAAACAUGGCAUUUCUUUUGGGUAAACUAAAAAAUGGUCACUAAACUUUUUGAAAUCAAAUAUUUUGGUCACUCUCUCGUUAGUUGCAUUUUUUAGAAUUUUGUAAAUGUUGAGGAUUAAAUUUAUUGAAUUUUUUAGAUUUUAAACAAAAAUAACAAAUUUUGUAAACAUUGAGGGCUAAUUUUUUUAAUAUUUUAUAUUUAGGAUUAAAUUGAUGGAAGUCUAAAUAUUAGAGGGCUAAAUUUGUUAUUUGACCAAUGAAAAAGCCCACAUCAGCUUCCCACCUAGAGGUGUACAUGGGCCGGGCUGGGCUCAACUAAAAAUUUAAGCCCAUUUUCUAGGCCCAACCCGAAAAAUAGGCCUAAAAUUUUGCCUAAGCCCGAUCCGAAUAAAAAUAUUAAAACCCGGGCCUGACCUGGCCCGCCCAUAUUAAAUUUUAUAUUAUUUUUAUAUAAUUUUAAAAUAUAUAUAAUACAUAAAAAAUACUAAAAACAUCAAAAUAAAUAUUUCCCAACAAAUUGAAAAUAAAAUUUAAAAAAUAUGUCUACUUAAAUAACACUAUGAUAGAUACAACUUAACAAGUAAAUGCCUCUAAAAUAAUAACAAAAUUAACAAAUGUCCUUAAAAUAAUAACAAAAUUAACAAUAAAAUAAGUUUUAUACAAUAUUAAAACAAUAACAACAAAAUAGUAGCACAUAAUAGUAAAAUGGUAGCAAAAUAGGGAGAAAACAAUAAGAAAAUAAUAUUUUAAAAAAAUAGAUUUUUUGUCCUUUAGUGAAUUCAGGGGCCGGGCCAAAAAUGACUUACUGAGGCCUGGCCCGUUUUUUAAACGGGCCUUAUUUUUUAUCCAAGCCCAAUUUUCGGGCCUAUAUUUUUUUCAAAACCCUCUCGCCAUUUCGGGUGGGCCUUCGGGCCGGGCCGAGUGGCCCGACCCAUGAAUAGGUCUAAUUCCCACCACUCAUCUAAUGGCAACUAAUGGAGAGUGACCAAAAUAUCUGAUUUUGAAAAGUUUAAUUACUAGGUAAAAAUAAUAAUAGUUAAGUGACUCAAAUAGAACAAAGUCAAUAGUUUAGUGAUCAUUUUUGUACUUUACCCAUUUGUUCUUUUUUUUUUUGUAUUAAACAGUUCAAUUACUUUUAGUUUUUUUUAUUAAUUUAAUAUAAGGAGUUUCUUUUAUUUGGGUUUUUAGAACUUUUGUUUUCUUAUCUAAUAUUAACUUGUUAAGUAUAGUUCAAUAUAUAAUUUUGACGAUAUCUUGUAGCAUAACAUGAAUUUUUUAACAUUGUUAGUGUUUUGGGGUAAUUUGUAUAUCAUUUAAUAAGUUUGGGUAUCAAAUUGAACUUGAAAGAAAGAUUAAGUAUCAAAUUAGGAAAAAAUGUCAAGUUCAAAUGUCAAACUGUACACAAAAAAGUUUAAAUACCAAAUUAAAGAAAGUAUCAAAUUUAAGUACCAAAUAUUAUAUUACGCAUUAUUACUAUUUUUGUUUAAGUGGUUAAUUUUAUUAUAUUCUUUCAAAAAGUAUUCUAAUACAUAAUAUUUUACAAUAUCUAAUUAAUAAAUAUAAGUCAUCAUUGUUUUCAUAGAGAUAUCAAUCUUAAUCCACAAGCAUUAGAUGACAAUCACUCAUCUAUAUAUAAAGAAUAAAAUUAAAAGAGGCCCCAAAUCCUCACCAAAUAUGUUAUAAACUAUAAAUAUUAUACAAAAUUAAUACAUAAUCUUUUAGUCAUUCCUAUUUUAGUCAUACUAAAAUCUUUCAUAUAACUGCAUCAUUAGUCUUCCGUUACCAUUUAAUGAUGGAGUAACUAAUUUAAUCAAUUUUAGGACGAUCAAAUUAACAAAAAAAAAAUUAGAGUGACUAAAAUUAAAAUUACCCUACUUAAAAUGACUAACGAUAUCAUUUACCCUUUAUAUACAUGCAAUUUGAAGUUAACUAGUCGCAAUAACUUACACUGAUAUUUGAACAAUUGAAAUGGGAGUAAGUAGUUCAAUCUUUUUAAUUUGAUGAUAUUUGGAAUCAACCCUUAAUUUUAUAUUAAUUACCAUAUAAAAUUUUAAUGGUUUCUUCUUGUUCCUAGUAUAUUUCGUCAUGGAAGUGAUAGCCAAUUUGUAUUCUCAGUUACCUUAUUCGAAUUAUUACGUUAAAUUAUUAAAUUAUUUUAAUACCUUGAUACACUUAUAAAAAAAUUGUAAGCAAUUUUCAUAGAGAUCUCAAGCUUAAUCUCCUUGUAAAACAAAGCUUUUGAUCACAAUCACUAGUUGUCACUGCUUUAUAUAUAUAUUUACAUAUAUAAAACAUGUUAUAAAGUAUAAAAUUUUGUGGACUCGUAUCUAUACUAUUAUUUAAAUUUUCGAUUGAAUUGAUAUCAUAAAUCGGUUAAACAUCAAUUCAAUUAGAAAAAUUAUGAUACCUUUUCGUAUUGAAAAUAAAUUUUAUUAUUCAAAGAUAUUUUAAUCCUUUUAUUUUAAAAAUAAUAAAAAGAUUAUAUUUAAUGAAAUUUGAAUACAUGCGGUUUGCAUCAAUAUAGUAUAGAUGAGUAAACAACCAGCUAAAAGAAAACAAAUCGAUAUCGUUACCACAUAAUUAUCUCCAUCCAUAAUAUCAAGUGUAACACCCCUAACCCUUAUCCGUCACCGAAACAGGUUAUGAAGCAUUAUCAAAAUUUAAAGAUUAAAUACAAACAUUUCACAACCAUUAACAUACAUAUCAAGAUUCAUUCAUUUAUCACUCAUAUUGUUCGUUAUAUGGGCCCUCGAGGCCCAAAAUAAGCAUUAGAAAUAAAUCAGGACCAACUUGGAAAUUCAAAAAAAAUUUCCCUAAAUUUCAAAAAAAAAAAUUCUUAAGAGCAGGGGACACACGCUCGUGCAGCCGAUUGUGUGGUUCACACAGCCAAGAGACACGCCGAUGUCUUAAGCCAUGUGGGUAUUCGAUGUGAGGCACAAGGCCAUGUCUCAGCCCGUAUCCAAUUUAGGGUAGCUACUGACUUGGGUCACACGGCCAACCGUGUGCUAGGCCGUGUGCAAAGUACAGAGGUCACACAGCCAAGGCACACGCUCGUGUACUAGGCCGUGUGUGGGCAUUCUGUUUUGAAAUUUUAAGGUCUAGGGGACACACGACCAGACUACACGCCCAUGUGCUAGGCCGUGUGUUAUACACGACUGAGACACACGCCCGUGUCUCUGCUCGGGUAGACGAAAAUAGGCCAUUUCAAGGCCACUUCUCUCACCCUUUUAUUAUCCACCUGCAUACAACAUUGAAAUACACUAACAUAUCUCAACCAAGCAACCAAUUCAUGCCAAAAUAUGUAUUUAACAUAAUAUGUUAACACAAAAAUCAAUUGUCUAAAUUUGCCAAACUAACUUCAUUUAUUGAUUUACCAAAACCUACUCCUAAUUAUAUACAUACAGACACACACACACACACACACACACACACACACACACACACACACACACACACACACACACACACACACACACACACACAUAUAUAAAAUUGUCAUCCAUAAUUAUACUUCAAGUUUAGCCCUUUUCAAUCCAUCCCUAUACAUGCCAUAUAAACCAAAAAUUGUACAACAAAAUCUACCGGAGUAAUCUGAAUAGUGUGAUCCGAUGUAUUGAUCCGAUCCUCCGAACUUCUUGAAAAUCUACAAAGAACAUUGAACAACACAAGUAAGCUUGAUGAAGCUUAGUAAGUCCGUUGGCUUAAACAUAAAUCUUACCAAACAUACUAAAACAAUUCAUUUAAGUAAAUCAUUCAUUUCACAUUCCCUGCCAACCACAAUUUCAGUUGAUGAAUUCACUUAUUUCAUCUCAAGAUCAAUAAUAUCAUUGAGUCUUCAACCAUUAAUAUCAAAUAUCACUUAUCAAAUUAUCAACCUUUGUCAGAUUAAUGAACAUCUUACAGAUAUGAAUACAUUGUAAACGGAAGCUCGAAGGCUGAACAGAAGUACAUAAGUGCUAACGGAAACCAGUAAGGGUUGAACAGAAGCUCAUAAGAGCUGAACGAAAACCCAGUAGGGUUAAACUGAAACUCAUAAGAAUUGAACUGAAACCCAUUAGGGUUAACUGAAACUCAUAUGAGUUAACUGAAGCUCAUGAAAGCUAAUUGGAAAUUAAACUCGAGAGUUCACAAUAAAUGUUAAACCCUUAGUUUACUUGGGUAAUUUACCGUCAAUUUCUCUUUUGCACUGAACGACUAUACUCAAUCCUGCAUUCUGUUCACUUCGAAUAUUUGAUUCAAUUUCAUAACUUUUACAAUAAUUUUAUUUUCAACAAAUAAUAUAAAUAAAUACAUAUUACCAUUCAUCAAUUUAACAAAUAACAUUAAAAAUUUAACCAUACGAACUUACCUAGACUAAAUUGUAGAAUUCGUAGUAAUUCGGGAACUAUUCUUCUAAUUUCUCUUUUCCUCGUUGAUCUACAGGCUCUUGAUCUAAAAUAUAAAAUUAUUCAUCCAUUAGCACAUAUUUUCAGCCUCACUCCAGUUUACAAUUUAUACCCUUCGAUGUUUAAAAUUACACAUUUGCCCCAACUUUUAUAGUUUUUACAAUUUAGUCUCUCAUCAAUAAGCCCAUCAAAUGAGCUAAUUUUUCUCAAUUAACACUUUAUAUAAUUAUUUUAGGAUAUUACACAACCUUUGAUAAAUAGAUUUUAAUACAAAACCCUAAAAUUUAAUAUUUUUCACAAUUUGGUCCUAAAAUCAAUUUCCCUUGAAAUCACUUGACAAAAUCAUCAUAUAACAAAAUUAAAGCUUCAAUUUUAUGUUAAUUCAUCAUAAAAUUCCAGAACUCAUUAAUGGUAACUUUCAAAAUUACCCAUAGAAUUAAAAACUAAUGAAUUAAAUAGUUGCACCUAAUUGUAAAUGUCUCAAAAACACAAAAAUUUCAAGAAAAGAACAAGAAUUGAACUUACAUGGAGUAAAAUAAAUAAACCAGCUUAAAACCUUCUCCUAUGG